AAAUUACUAUGACUAUAAAUCACUGCUAUCGAACACAAACACACCAAAAUUGGGGAUCUGAAGAUGAUGCUCGGAAAAAAAAAAAAAAACGAGGCUCCGGCGAGAGAGACGGGAGGUUUUCAAAGGGUGGUUGCCCCUCUCUUGCCAACGCAUAAUCGGAUCUGAUCCGAUCAUGUUGAGCCGGUGAGUCUAUCCCCUCUUUCGUCAUAAAACAACAGCCCUUGAAAAAAAUAAAAAUAAAUAAAUAAAUAUAUAUAUAUAUAUAUACAGAAAUUAAAUAUCCUAUUACUUUUCUUUCUACUCAUCUACAUUUGUGUGGGUGUGUGUGUUUAUAUCUGUAACUGCGAUGGUAUAUUGAGAUGGCGAUGAUAUUUAAUUUCUGUAAGUAUUGUUAUCCGGGCAUCAUUAAUCGGGCACAGGGUUGAAUUCGGCCCGUAUCUUGGCGGGGCAACCCGGAUGGUAUCUUAACGUGCAACCGGUCUUGCAGCCAUGGCGGUGUUCGACCCCUUUGUUUGACUUCAACUUACAGAUCUGAGCCUCAUUCUCUUCACAUAAUUUUUUUUUCAAAUGCAUUAAAUUCUUAAUUCUUUCUUAUAUUACGUCUUUUUCAAGAGUAUUUUUAUCUAAACAACUAAAAAAACGAUUUAAGGUGGCAUUGUCCACGGAGAAACCACACAAUUCACAAACAAGCAAAAAUUCAAUUAACUGCUCCAGUUUUCGAUUGUUUUUGUUAUGAGAUGCACAUACUGAUGUUUUUUAAACAAAAUUUUAUUUUGCAUCCAUCCUGUGAGUUUAAAGUGCAUGCAACACCAUGUCAUAUAUGUGUAUUAUACAUGUAUUUUAACAUUUAGUUUUAGGAAAAUGACUUAAAAGCCCAACGAAGUUUUCAAACCAUUCAAAAAACCCAACGAACUUAACCUUUUGUCUAAAAAGUCCAACAAAGUUUAAAACCGUUCAGAAAAUUCCAAUUUUGUUUUGUUUAAGUUGGUUAGGUUUUUUUUGAACAGUCAAAACAUGAUUUGAGUUUUUUAAACGUUUUGGAAACUUCGUUGGUCUAACAAGUCAUUUUUCCGAUACGGUAAUAAGCCACGUCAUCUGUUUUUCUUAUUAGACUUUCGAGAAAGUGUAACUUAGUUGGACUUUUUAGAUAAAAUGUUAAGUUUGUUGGGUUUUUUUGAACAGACAAAACAUGAUUAGGGUUUUUUAAACGGUUUGGAAACUUCGUUGGGCUUUUAAGUCAUUUUCCCUUUAGUUUUCUAUGGUUUACUUUGCAUGAUAUAAAUGAAGUUGCAAAUUAAAACUUUAUUGUAAAAAGUUGUAAACUGAUUAUGAAGUUGAGAAUAUCUGUACUAAUUUGAUAACAUGUGAGAAAUUGGGUUUUUUGAACUCAAGAAAUCAUACUAUACAAGCCGUAAAUCCUUUUGGAGUCAUGUGGUUGGCAUGUCCAUGUGGCGUAAGGUUAAAUCUGGCAACAUAGAGAGAAUUGGUAUAGUGGAAGAUUAUGAAUUGUUAAUUUCUAUUUACAAACCAAACCUUUUUAUUUCUUAUUGCCUUUUCUCUUGAUCUAAACAUCCAUGAAAAUCAAAAACCACUUACACUCAGAAGAAACACAUACCAAAAAUUAUGUACAAUCUUGUUAUAUCAUGAAGACACGAAAUAUACAUCAUGUUCUUUUAUCGUCAUCUUUGUUUUUGUUUUUUUGUUACAUUCUUCAACACAAUCCUACAAUUUAUAAAUCAAAUAUACAAAAACUAGCAUGAUCAAUUAAAAUUACAUAAGCAAAAGGAAAUGAUAUAUGGUCACUAUUACUAUUACAACUAUAAAGACAAGUAGACAACAUUUUGUUGUCAUGUACAAAAGAAAUCAACCAGACAACAUUUAACCACAUAGUCUAUGGUCAAUUACCAAAGCAAUUUAAACAAAAAACAUGUAUCUUAUACAUCCGAUAUAUGAACAGAUCCAAGCAACUAGCACAAAACUUAAAAACUAACAAAUGUCUGGAUCUUACAAUUACGUUGUACAAUGCAAUACAUACCUGUUGACAUAUUAUUGAUGUUGACUGUUUUUUGUUCUAGGGAUACACAACUAAAACUUGGUUUAUUCUCGUAUGGUCUCUACAAGAGUUUCUAACGCCACUACAGAGUUUCAAUAGUCAUGAUCAUUAUGAAACAACUAAUAAAAUUAUGAAAAAAACUAUACCACAAUCUAACGUGAUCUACCAUAGAACUUCAAAAGCAAUAAAUCUACCCAUAUAGAGGAUUUCACUAAAGUACUUACUCUUGCAUGUAGUAGGUUUCGUAUAAGUCAAAAUCUCCAUAUUUCUAGGAACCAAAGCAGCAUCCCUUUACGCCUUGUUCCCGAGUUGCACUUAAGGAGAGAAAUGGGAGGAUACGGAGGGAAAAUGAGGGGUGUCGAAGGAAAAUCGUGUUCCCGAGUUUCAUUAAUGGAAGGAAAGUGAGGGGAGGGGAAAGAUUUUAGAGUCAUAUUUUCCUUCCAAAUUUUCCUCCCAAAUUGGGCGGAUUUGAGAAGAAAGUGAAGGGAAGGAAAAUUUUAAGUUUUAUUUUCUUUUUCCUCCUAACUUGGGAACACAAAAACUAAAAAUUUUCAUUUCCUUUCCUUUCAUUUCCUUCGAACUCGGGAACAUAGAAUAAUUAAUAUUUUCCUUCACCUCCCUUUCUUUCUGUCAAAAUUUUCCUUCCCUUUCCUUUAAUGAAUUUACAUAAAAACUCGGGAACAAGGCGUACAGUACCAUACAAAUGCAAGAUUUGACUGCAAUAGUUAAAUGGAGACGCUCUAUAAACCCGAACUUUGAUAUGAAAUUUGUGCACUUGGAAUUAGGGUUUACCAAUGAGCUUGGGUAAGGGACCCGCACAAAUCGUUCACCUCUACGCUUUAUGCUUUAUUUAGAUGGAAACAACAUAGUUUGACCCCAUCCUUUCGAUAUAGAAGGCUUUGUACUUUGUAGUAUUUGGGAACUAUUUCCUCAUAACAUUUAGAAGGUUAUAUAUUAGCAGUAGGAUACUUGAAUUGUUAAAUAAUAAAUACUUGUUCUAACCAUGUGUAUCAUUAUGUUCAGAUGGUGGCAUGGACAUCAAUUUGUUAUAUGUAUGUAUAUACUCCGAAGGUUACCUAUAGAAUUGGUUUUUGAACUUAGGGCGUGUUCGGCACGGAGCGUUUUGAGAGCUUCUAGCUUCUAGCGUUUGACAAAUCCGUUUUGAACAAAAAACUUUGUUUGACACUACAAACUUGUAGCGUUUAAUUUAGACAAAAACGCUCUAAAUCCAAGUGCUACUUCAUGUAGCGUUUAACAAAACACUACAAGCUACAAGCUAAUUUUGCCGAACACGCACUUAGUUGUUUUUUUACUGCUUAAUAGGUUGAAUCGAUGUAGAUUGUAGAUUAUAAAUUUGUGUCUCAAGGAGACGAGUGAUGACCAACUAACUGCCAUACAUAUCUUGUUAUUACCAAAUUGGAAUUGGGUUUUUGGCACUGUAGCACAAUAAAGUUUGACGAAUUUACACAUUCAGUCACUCAAGUAUUUUUUGUGCCUAAUAAACCAUUACAAUUGAAUUUUACAUAUCAAUUACACAUUUAUAGGACCUGAUACAGGAACAACCGGUUACUUGAGUGACUAAAUGUGUAAAUUCGUCAAACUUUGUUGUGCUAUAAUGCCAAAAACAAACCCACAUAUGUCAAGCCACGUCAGCAUGUCACCCGUAAAUCGGAUACAAUUUACCCCAAACCCUUAAUUAGUCGGUACUUCACAAUGAGUACCAAUUGAGCAUAAAAAAAUACUUGAGUGACUGUGUAUAAAUUCGUCAAACGUUGUUGUGCUACAGUGCUAAAAACCCUACCAAAUUUUAUAUUACGUUACUUUGGUACCCUUUUUUUGCUUAUAUUAUCAAUCAACAAUGCAAAGUGUUCAUGUUAAUAUUUAUGUAGCUUUUAUGCAUAAAACAAUAGGUAUAUCAACCUCAUAAUAUCCGAGGGACUAUCAACUAUAAAUAAGGAAUUGCAUCACGAUCAGGGUUGGCUUCAUUUGUAUUUGUAAUUGACCAAAGAUAGGGCUUAGGGGCCCCACCUCUAAGGAGCCCCACUUAUCCCAAAUACCCAAUACCUAUUUCCAUCAGUGAAUCCUCAUUGCUAGCCUCAAGCACGCCAAUUCUCACGCCAAUUUUGUUCUUUUUCUUCUACAAGUUGCGACGUUUCUUCUUCUUCAUUCUCGACUUCUCGGACUCUGAAUUAGUGAAUCUCUCAUCUCUGAUUAACGAUUACUAUUCUAGGCUCCUUCAUUCUUGACUUCUCCAGUUCUCCAAUCUCCAUAGCAGCAUUCUGAAUUUCUAAUAACUCAUUCUCCGCGGCAGCUAGCCCUUAGCCCCUUACGCACACCAAUUCCCCAAUUCAGUUGUCACGAUCAUCUGGUCUCUGAAGGACAGAAGGAAAGAUCAAUUAUUGUCAUCUACUCAUCUGAUUAUUGAUUAUCUAACAUACUAUUACUGAAGGUAAGAUCGAUUACACUGUAAUGAUAUUUUAUAUUUUUAGUUAUACUUUGUGAAUUAUGACUUGUUCAUUUGUUCAUUGUUCAUUCAUUAUAAGUUCAUAUUACAGAAUAAAUAUAUUCUCAAAUCCGUUUUCUCUCUAUUUUCAAAUUUUAUUUUUUCACUGGGAUGUAUUUUUUUUCGGUUUUCAGAUUUGAGCUUUCCAAUUUAUAUUAUCUUGUACACUUCUAUUCUCAAAUCUUAAGGGAUCAUGCUGCAUGUAUAAUCAUAAAUCUGAAUUCAUCUUAAUGAUUGUUAUUCAAGAUUCAACUGGAAAAUUGGAAAUUUGUUUUUAAUUAUCAAAUAAUUAAUAAUCAUGUUAAAGAUAAAAUACGAAUCAGAAGCUUCAAAAAGAAAAAGGAAAAAAUGCAACAAGUAGUUUUUAUAGGUAAACAAAAAGGGUCGUUUUUAAAAUAUUUAACUACAAAAAAAUGUUGAUAAUUAACAAUAAAAAACUAAUGUUGGUAAUGAACAAGAACAAGCUAAUAUUGAUAACAUUAAGUAUAGUAAAUACAAAAGGGUCCCGAAAUUUUGAUUUGCUUAGAGCCUCAAAACUUGUUAAGCAACCCUUGAUCACGAUUAAAAAUUUGUUAAGUGUAAUUAAAGUGUGACAAUGUAUAUAUACAAAAUUUUUCUAUUUAGUUUUAGGAAGAAGUUUGAAUUCAAGUAAUUUUUCUUAUGAAAUCGUUGAAAUGUAAACAAGAUUUUAUUUUUCUCAUGUGUUAAUGAGCAUGAAAUAACAAUGUUGGAUGAAGGAUAGUGAUAAUAAAGGUUUGCGGGUGUGAAGUCACUUGUGGUGGGUGUGCAUUAGUUUGACUUUCUAAAUUGAAACUAAGGUGGUGUUUGAUUAGCAGAAUUUUUUGGUAAGUAUAGGGAUUUUUUAAGAACGACAUAGUUAGUUUGAAGUUAGUGGUUCGAGUCGUGCAGUGACAUCCAAGCGUGCAAUAUGCCUUUCCCGAACCUUUGUGUGCGGAGGAAUAAACUCCUCUCCCUUUUUUCCCUUUCUCCUAGGGAAAAUCCCACAGGAAGCCUCGAACCCGAGACCUCCAAGGGAAAAUGUAACGCUCUAAAAAUUCAACCAAUUUUAAACUUUUCAAAAACAACCCGGUUUCAUUGAGUUAUUACAAAAAAGGUUUUCAAUACAAUUAUUAUCAGAGUCUUCCCAGAACCACAUCACAAAACAUAAUCAUGAGGAGCGGUGCGAUCACGCCUUUGCCUUGUCACGGUCUCCUGAAGAACCUGAAAAACAUUAAACCACAACUGUAAGCCCGAAAGCUUAGUGAGAUACCCCCAAAAUACCAACCACAUAUACCAUACACGCACAACAUGCCAUAACACAACAGAACACAGAACAACCAUGCACUUCGGGUCUACUGUGUGACUGGUCCGCCGCACCAGCCUUCAGUCCACCUGGUACACCCUNNNNNNNNNNNNNNNNNNNNNNNNNNNNNNNNNNNNNNNNNNNNNNNNNNNNNNNNNNNNNNNNNNNNNNNNNNNNNNNNNNNNNNNNNNNNNNNNNNNNNNNNNNNNNNNNNNNNNNNNNNNNNNNNNNNNNNCUGGUCCGCCCUCUUGGGGCCUACAGCCUAUCUGGACCGCUCGCUGGGCCUUCGGGAUAACCGGUCCACCAUGGGUAUGUUGGCCUACAACACAAAGCAGGACCUGCCUCAACCCAACCCCAGUCCAAUAACCAUGUGCAUAUAAACAUUCAAACAUAUAACAAUUCGCAUCCAAUCAAACCAAUCUAGCAGAUCACAUAGCAUAACAUCAUCCUAACCAGGAUAUCGACCUAACCGGUCACUAGCAUAGCAUCAUCCUAUAUACCAUGAUUCCGACCUUAACCAGGUCUCUAACAUAUACCAUCCUAACUACCACGAUGAAAACAUAGCAAAGCAAUAACAUAACAAUGAUACCCGAAUCACAAACCGAUAAAGGGCCGACCUUGGUGCCGUAGACCCUGUCGAUAUAGUGAGGAUAACUCACCUGCAACUGCUGGCUGAAAAGAUAAGACCAAGCUGCUCCGACCACUGACACGAUCUCCACCAAUAGCCAACACCAAAACAUUGAACUCAAAACAAAUGCAAACAAUUACCAAAUGCCCCUGGAAGUCAACUGGUCAACCCUUGGUCAAAGUCAAAGUCAAAGUCAACCUCCUGACUGACUCUACUCGCCGAGUCAACCCAAUGACUCGUCGAGUCCCCAUGCACAUAACUUCCCCCAAUCCGCGACUCAACUCGCCGAGUCACCCCGAGACUCGCCGAGUCCAACAACUCUGGGUCCCCUCGCACUCAACUCACCAAGUCCUCCCUUGACUCACCGGUUCACGGCUCAACCAGAAGAAAGUUAGGACCUCUCGACCAGACUCGCCGAGUCCAAGAACAGACUCGCCGAGUCCAAGGCUAUCUUCAACCAACUCGCCGAGUUGUUCUUCCAACUCGUCGAGUUCCUGCCCACCUUCAUGCAACUCGCCGAGUACACCCUUGUGACUCACCGAGUACCCCUAGAUCUUAACCCAUACAGAAGCUUUCUAAGACAUGCAGGGACUCAAAUCCAUAGACCUACUCUUAUACAAGCCAUCCAUCACGUAAAGUGGCAAACUUUACGUGAAUCCAAGUAGAUCUAAGCAUUUUACACUCUAGGGUUUGGGUUUGGGAGAAAAGGGCUUCAUUAACCAUUCUUGAACAUGGACUUUAAUGCUCUCUAGACCUCCUCCUUUCCAGAUCUGAGGUAGCAACCUCAGAUCUAACCUCCAACUCCCAAAACCACAAGCUAUUCUUUCCAAAAAAAACUCCAAAAAUGAUGAAUCUAGGAGAAUAACAGCCCAAGAAACGAAAUAAUACCUCAAAAGAAAGCUCCAACAGAAGAGAAAUCCGAAUCCUUGCAAAACCCCUUGCUCCAAGCCUCUUAACUCUCCAAGAUCUCCUCCAAAAUCUCUUCUCCAAGGUUCAAAAGCUCUUAAUCCACUCACAAACGCGCCUUAGGGUUUUCUGGACUUCAAGAGAGGGUAAAGAGGUUGGGGAGAGGGUAUAAUGUCCUUUAUAUAGGGCUCAUCCUCCGAAAUUAGGGUUUUCUCCACACAACACCAACUCACCGAGUCCAGCCGCCGACUCGCUGAGUUGGCCACUUANGCGACCUGAAUCGCGACCCUACUCGCCGAGUCCACCCAUGGACUCAGCGAGUUGCCCUUUCACAUUUACACUUUGAACCCUGAACUUGUAUCCCUGAACUCGGGAUGUUACAAUUCUCCCCCACUUAAAUUAGGCUUCGUCCUCGAAGCCUGCGACAACACAACUCCAGAACUACUCCCGCAAGGCACCACUUGGGAUUAACCAGACCAGGUUCCUCAAAACACAACCACCGAAACCCAAAACCCAACUUUCCCUCUUGCAAUGUCCUGACCACCGCUCCAAGCCGGCCACCGGCCUCAUCCUCUAAUAACCACACUUAUCAACCGAGUACCAUUCCAUGAUACUUCACUCGCUCCAGAUCACAACAAUCCCUUGACUCAUACGAGCUAGAAAUAACCCUGAACCACCGGGACCCCGAUCUGAGUCCAACUUUAUCCACUCCAUGUUGACAGAAGGACACAUCCUUUAGUCUCAGAGCAACUCCCAUGAGUUCUCUUCCGCAAUCUCAUACCUAUGCUGAACUGGCUCUAGCAUCCUCGGGUUGGGAAAAUCCGACACACUGACGACACCUCCAAGCAUCCCCCAGGAUGAAUUACCACUACAUACAUAAUUCUUUGAUCAAAAACAAACUAGGAAUCCAAGACUCCAUCCCUGCAUCCCUUCCGAGCCUCUUGGCUCUACACCCUCGGAAUUCCUUCCGCGACCUCAGCAGACAUCCAACCCGGAUGUGAUUCCUUACCACUGUCGCAAACACACUGCUCAAUAACCAUAAUUGGAACACCCCAAUCAUACCUCCGCACUACUGCUUUCACUUCCGUGAACUUACACUCCCUCUCGGAGUUACAUACCCUUCCUUUUCCUUAUCCAAGGAAAUUCACUUAGCUGCCUUGGCACUACCACAAGUGCCACGAUGCUCACCCAAUACUACACCAUUCCUUUAUAGCAUAACCUCUAUCCCAUGCACCACACAUGCUAUGAAUCCGCUCGCAAGGACUCUCAAGUCCAUGCACUACCUUCCACUCACCACGAUCAAUACCCGGGGCCAGACCUUCUGAUGCUAACACAUCGCGACAUACUCAAUCCAUUUCCUCGUACCGAUCAAUCAACACAUGUAGAGUCUUCAGCAUGACUGGACAGCCUUACCAGGCCUUCAGCCAAUCUGGACCACUCUCAGAACCUUCAGCAGGUCUGGACCGCCCUCCAGGGCCUUCAGCCUGUCUGGACCUUCCUCCGAGCCUUCGNCAGUCUAUCCGGACCGCUCAACUAGCAUUCAUCAUCCCAAAUUAUCCUUCCAGGGAAACUCUCCCAUGCAUACUGUUCUAGCCCUAUAGGGGCUCUGAACUCUAUCUCCAUCCUACAUACUCAAUCCCGGCCCGAUCCCAGGCCUUCCACAAUCAAUCACCCUUGGUGUAUAUCCCGCCCCGCAUGCCUGCCACUUACUCAUACCAGCCUACGCUCUUGGCUGACAGAACCACUGCUGAAUCCCAAGCAACUAAUCAACUUCUCAUGCUCAUCGAUCUUCCGGAGAAUCUUCCAAUUCUCCCCCACUUAAAACACUGACUAUCAACCACCGGUCGCCAUCACCGACCUCCCUUAUCAACCUUACACAACACAAUCCCUUACACGCGAACUGAUUCCCACUAGAACGAGCAACCUUCACAAAAUUACAUAACAACACUGAUCAUCUCGGGCUCGAAAGAAACCCAACCUUCAGCUAACCACCCUUCAGAAUGCAGAUGCUACUCGACAUUCAAACCAAAAGCCAUAUUUCCCACUAAUAAUCCUCAUGAAUGAUAACCAANACUAAUCAACUUCUCAUGCUCAUCGAUCUUCCGGAGAAUCUUCCAAUUCUCCCCCACUUAAAACACUGACUAUCAACCACCGGUCGCCAUCACCGACCUCCCUUAUCAACCUUACACAACACAAUCCCUUACACGCGAACUGAUUCCCACUAGAACGAGCAACCUUCACAAAAUUACAUAACAACACUGAUCAUCUCGGGCUCGAAAGAAACCCAACCUUCAGCUAACCACCCUUCAGAAUGCAGAUGCUACUCGACAUUCAAACCAAAAGCCAUAUUUCCCACUAAUAAUCCUCAUGAAUGAUAACCAACGAAAUUCCCAACACCAAACCCAUAACCAUACCAUAAUCCUCAAGGAACAACGAAUACAAUACCAAAAAUCACACAACAAGACUAGCAGUUACUGUUGGAUUAGUGUCUAAUGAUGGGUUUUGGUCAUAAGAACAUCCUAUGUGCUCAUACAAACCCUAAUGCUUGGAUCUAGGUUUCUCUAUUGUACAUGCAGUUCAUCCAAGACUAUAAACCCUAGAUCUAGUAUAUGAUAAUCAAUAUAACAUGUAAAUUAGGGUUUAGAUCAUACCUUGAUUGUUAUGCAACAAUAACAAUCUCAAAUCCUCCUUGUAUUGACUUUAGAAAGCUUAGAGUCACAAAUGUCACUCCUCUAAUGGUUCACAAACACCAAGAGCAAGAGGAUGAAUAAGAGAAGAGAAGGAGGCUGCCCAAAACGUGUGGAAACCCUAACCAACAAGUUCUCCUCGUUUUUGGGGCAUAAGGGUUCUUUAAAUAGUGAGGCUAUUAGGGUUAUCUAACAAGGAAACCCUAAUUUGGAUGCUUAAGCCCUAAGCAACCCAUGGACUCCUUUCCUUAAAGGCCUUGGACGAUUUCUAAUGGGUUUCCCCAUAGAAUUCGUCCAACCUUAUAAUAUAAGGCAAUCCAUGGCCCAAUUGCAAUUAUCUUAUAAUUACAAUUCUAGUCCCUUAAGUUUAAUUAAUCUCUUUUAGUCACAAACUUAAUUCUUAUUAAUUCUUGACUAAUAUUAAUUAAACAAUAUGAUUUCUCCUUUAAUAUAUUAUUCUCAUAAUAUAUUAAUAAAUCAUAUUUAAUCCUUUCUCUCCAUAAUUCAUCCUAUCAAGUUGCUUUGGUGAAGGCAACCCAAAAGGACCAUGCACCAUCGGGUCAAGUACAUACCAAAAUAGUUAUGGACUUAGACACUAAUCCAACAGUCUCCCACUUGGAUAAGUCUAAUAACUAUUAUGCGUAUGACUUCAGAUCCUGAUCUGCAAUCGUAGCUUUCCAAAGCCGCUGUCAACUCUGAUCCUAUCAGAUACGCGUGUCCUUUAGAUAAGGGAUCAUAUAUUCCUCCAUUCUAGAUAUCGUAUAGACUGAGACAUGGAUUUAAAUCAUUCUCUCUGUCUAUGUGUUGUUUCCCGAUUUCCGAUUUAUGACGACUGACAACAGACUACAAUUGAACACAUCAAAUUAGUCCCGGCUUGGCCAAGCGCUUAGGUGUCAUCACUAAAUCAUCGAGGGGCCCACAGAUAUCGCUUUCAUCCUACUUUGGAUAAAAGGAACGGAUAAACUUUGAUUCAAUGCUUGCUUGCACUCACUCACCGAAUCACACACAACAAUAUGUUUUAUGACACCAAGUUACUGGUGCGUUUACAUAUUAUCAAUGUGUAACCGACUCGCAAGAUACAACUCACACAUCUCGGUUUCAAGAAUAUAAGAUAUUAUCGUCUCACCAAUCACUCGUGAUACAAUCCAUGAAGUGAUCCAAGUGAGCGUGGGUUUAAUCCAAUGCUCAAAUCAUAUUCAUAAGCACUCAUGAACGUUGCAGCAAACAUUUGCUUAUGUCUAAUACACUUUAGACAAUCCACACACCAAUUCACGACAGUCUUCAUUCAUACCUACUUCCAACAUAUGAACGACUGUGGUCCGUUCGAAUAAUUUGAUUGUUCUGAACCAAUUUAAUUAUUCAGGAAGUCAAAACAUGCAAAGUGAAACACAAGAAUAAUACUAAUCCCAUAUGGCCCCAAACUCUGGGUAUAAAUAAAACAUUUUAUUUAAUCACCAUAUUGAUUACUCAUUAUUUGUUGUUUCGGGUAAUCAACUUCUUACUUGAAUUAUUACUACACUUGUCCCAUGCUCUUAGCAUGCACACAAUGUUUACCUACGGUCCUUACUUUGUGAAAUAGAUCAAAUGAACACAUUUCCAAUCAUACUCAUUUCACAACUCCCAAUCCUUAUCAUAAGUAUAAGAAUAUCAAAUUCUUGUUACUUAUGCUAGAUUCUAACAUUUUAUGCAAUGAUUCUUUCGUAAAGUCAUAGCUCAAAAUCAUCAAGACUUGGCCAAUCUCUAUCAGAAACAAUUCUAUAGAUAUGAUGUCUCUCACUCAAAGUACAUUCCUUUGAACAUCCUUCUUGCAUAAAAGUUUCUAAUCUAGACAUAGAUUCUCAAUAUCCAACUCCCAAUAUGGAAACAUUUCCAUAUUUUCCAUAUGACAACUCAUUCUUAAUAGAAUCUUAUCUAUUCAUAAUAAUGUCGAUAUGGUCCAUCCAAUACUAUACUUCCAACUACUCACAAGCGACCAAUCCUCGGCGAACUUUGGAUUGUCCUUUGAUAGUUGUUUAAUUAUCUUAGUCAAAACCGAUUCUUGUCCUUUUUCCCUCUAAAUGCGCUAGACAUUUGGAAAAUUUUAGAAUGGUCAAAUAUUAUAGCAUUUGCAAUCGAUCCUAUACCCGAAGCGUAUGGGACACGAUGCAUAAUGUCUUACAUAAAGAUCUGAUACUUUAUCAAUCUUAUGCCAUAAUAUUUUAUGUGCCACGUUCUCACAAUUCGAACUAUGCCAUAAUCAUAAUCGAAAUUUGAGAACACACUAUGUAUCCUUGACUAAAUUUAUUAACAUUCCACAACCUAAGCCUUUAAAUUUGAAAUGAAGCAUAAUAUUCUCUCCCUUAAUUAUAGCAAAACAACUAUUCAACCCUUACAACUUUGCAAAGUAUGACUCUUGUUUUCUAUAAUUAAUCUUGCAAUAUCUGCCUUAAUAAUCAUACAAACAUAACAUUUAUGCUCCCACUAUCAAGAUGAUUAUUAUAAACAUAACACUUAUGCUCCCACUAGUUAUGACAUGUAUUCAGAAACAACUUAACUUUCAGAAGAACAAUACCUAUUGAAUUUCUUNNNNNNNNNNNNNNNNNNNNNNNNNNNNNNNNNNNNNNNNNNNNNNNNNNNNNNNNNNNNNNNNNNNNNNNNNNNNNNNNNNNNNNNNNNNNNNNNNNNNCAAUCACACUGUAGACUCGAUGUAUAUGGCUAGACUCGAAGGGUGUACCAGGUGGAUUGAAGGCNNNNNNNNNNNNGGCGGACCAGUCACACAGUAGACCCGAAGUGCAUGGUUGUUCUGUGUUCUGUUAUGAUAUGGCAUGUUGUGCGUGUAUGGUAUAUGUGGUUGGUAUUUUGGGGGUAUCUCACUAAGCUUUCGGGCUUACAGUUGUGGUUUAAUGUUUUUCAGGUUCUUCAGGAGACCGUGGCAAAGCAAAGGCGUGAUCGUACCGCUCCUCAUGAUUGUGUUUUAUGAUGUGGUUAUGGGAAGACUUUGAUAAUAAUUGUAUUGAAAACCUUUUUGUAAUAACUCAAUGAAACUGGGUUGUUUUUGAAAAGUUUAAAAUUGGUUGAAUUUUUAGAGCAUUACAAGUUGGUAUCAGAGCCUUGGUUUGAGUGAAUUGGAGGAACAUCCGUGUGAAUCCAGUCUCAAAUCGAGUGUUUUAAAAAGAGAAUUUAAAAUGGUUUUCAAAAAUGAGUAAAGGAGGACGCGGAGGUACGAUCAGCCGGAGCCAGUAAGUAACCCCAAAAUACCAUACAUGAUAUUUGUUUUUGAGCUAUGAUAGAACAGCAUGCUAGAACUAGGAUAGGGAUCUUCAGGAUUUCAUGAUAAUGUUGCCUGAUUUAUGAUGCCUGCUAGCCUAGGGUUUUUUCUGUGGGAGAUUUCCAGUGUUCCUCUAGGAGUGAGGGUUGAGUGCUUGUUAUGUAUGUUCUUCACUAGGGUGUUGUGGUAAUACUUGAUACAAAUAUGGGUAGGUGUGGAAGGUAGUAUGGUCCCGUACUACUGAAAGCACAGGACCCAUACGCGUAUCAAAGAAACCAUAACCUCUAGGGUUGGGUUGGGGGUUGAUUCUCGGGUUAGCGGGAAGUAUUUGAGAUCUUGCGGUGUUUUUCAGUAUGGUGGUUACGAGGCAUGCUGGGAGUGGAUCCGGGUCAGGAUCGGGAGCAGAAGAGGGCAGUCAUGGUGGGUCAGUACCGCAUGAGGUUAUUGGUCAGAUGAGCACAGACAAGUUGGAUGCUAGGAUUCGUGAGAUAUUGCAUGAGGAGGUUGUUGCGUUGUUCUGGGCCGAGUUGCCGGAACUGUUUGGGUCGAUUAAGACCGCCAUGGUUGAGUAUUUUAAUGAGCGCUAUGCAGCUCUCACAGAGACGGCUGCCGCGACGGCUACAACGGCUGUAGCAACGGCAGGGGGAGGAGCCGGUCGAGGUUUUUAGUAUCGGGACUUCGAUAAUACGAAGCCCCCUACCUUUGAUGGAGUUCAGGACCCAAUUGUUGCUAUGAGAUGGUUGUCGGACGUGGAGGGGUGUUUCUUCACGUGUUCAUGCCCUGCUGAUCAGUGGGUGAGGUGUGCUCUGAACCUGUUGUGGCUCGGGGCGAAGGAUUGGUGGAGAUUGACCACGGGGUCAUAUUCGGAUGCGCAAAGGGCUGCGGUUUCUUGGGAUCAGUUCCGGGACAUGUUUAGCACUCGUUAUGUUCCGCGGGUUGAGAGAGAGAGGUUGGCUCAGGAUUUCCUGGAGCUGAAACAGGAUUCGGAGUUGGUGACAGAGAUCACCAGGAGGCCGCCAGGCGGCAUGAGUUAGAGAUUGUGUCUACGCAGUUUGUGUCUACGCAGAGGUGCGAGACCUUGUUAGAGUUGCAGGAGGCCGCCAGGCGGCAUGAGUUAGAGAUUGAGUUGCAGUUGAGAGAGCAGAGGCAGGCCCCGGCAUAGUCGCAGCCGGCGUCGAAACGGUCCAAGACCGNGGGAGAUCAGAGCAGCCACACCUGUGGGAAGUGUGGGAAGGGUCACACCGGAGUUUGUAGGUCCGGUGGUGCAUGCCGCAAGUGCGGAAAGGAAGGGCACUAUGCGAGGGAUUGUCGGCAGACAGCCCCGGUUCGGGAUUUGAGGAUUUGUUGUCACUGCCAUCAGGUUGGACAUUUGAGGGCCAACUGUCCACAACUUGCUGCGGGACCGGUGCAGGCUCCAGCACCGGCCACGUUGAGGAUUGCAGGUGGAGGUCAGGGUGGAGUGGAGCCCCCAAGGGCUCAAGAUCGUGUUUUUCAGUUUAUAGCAGAAGAGGUCAGGGCAGUUCCGGAUGCAGCUGCGGGUAUGUUUCUUUCUUGAUGUCUUGUUAUCUUGUGAUUAUUAUGGAGUAUGGUGUAACUGAUGGGUUUUAGCUAUACAAACUUCCUAUGUGCUCAUACAAACCCUAAUGCUUGGAUCUAGGUUUCUCUAUUGUACAUGCAAAUCAUCCAAGACUUUAAACCCUAAAUCUAGCAUAUGAUAAUCAAUAUUAACAUAAAAAUGGGUUUAAGAUAUUACCUUGAUUGUUAUGUAGCAAUAACAAUCUCAAAUCCUCCUUGUAAUGACUUUAGAAAGCUUAGAGUCACAAAUGUCACUCCUCUAAUGGUUCACAAACACCAAGAGCAAGAGGAUGAAGAAGAGAAGAGAAGAGACACCCAAAAACGUGUAGAAACCCUAAGGAUUCAGUUUUCCCACGUUUUUGGUGCCCAAGGGGUCCUUAAAUAGUGAGGCUAUUAGGGUUAUCUAACAAGGAAACCCUAAUUUGGAUGCUUAAGCCCUAAGCAACCCAUGGACUCCUUCCUUAACAAGCCUUGGACGAUUUCUAAUGGGUUUCCCCAUAGAAUUCGUCCAACCUUAUAUUAUAAGGUAAUCCAUGGCCCAAUUCCAAUUAUCUUAUAAUUACAAUUCCAGUCCCCUAAGUUUAAUUAAUCUCUUUUAGCCACAAACUUAAUUCUUAUUAAUUAUUGACUAAUAUUAAUUAAACAAUAUGAUUUCUCCUUUAAUAUAUUAUUCUCAUAAUAUAUUAAUAAAUCAUAUUUAAUCCUUUCUCUCCAUAAUUCAUCCUAUCAAGUUGCUUUGGUGAAGGCAACCCAAAAGGACCAUGCACCAUCGGGUCAAGUACAUACCAAAAUAGUUAUGGACUUAGACACUAAUCCAACAGUCUCCCACUUGGAUAAGUCUAAUAACUAUUCUGCGUAUGACUUCAGAUCCUGAUCUGCAAUCGUAGCUUUCCAAAGCCGCUGUCAACUCUGAUCCUAUCAGAUACGCGUGUCCUUUAGAUAAGGGAUCAUAUAUUCCUCCAUUCUAGAUAUCGUAUAAGACAUGAUUUCUAAUCAUUCUCUCUGUACUAUUUCUCGACUUCCGAUUUAUGACGACUGACUAAUUGAACAAAUCAAAUUAGCCCUAGCCCGGCCGAGCAUUUACGUUUGUCAUCACUAAAUCAUCGAGGGGCCCAAAGAUAUCGCUUUUAUCCUACUUUGGAUAAAAGGAACGGAUAAACUUUGAUACAAUGCUUGCUUGCACUCACUCACCGAAUCACACACAACAAUAUGUUUUAUAACACCAAGUUACUGGUGCGUUUACAUAUUAUCAAUGUGCAACCGAUUUGCAAGAUACAACUCACACAUCUCGGUUUCAAGAAUAUAAGAUGUUAUCGUCUCACCAAUCACUCGUGAUACAAUUCAUGGAGUGAUCCAAGUGAGCGUGGGUUUAAUCCAAUGCUCAAAUCAUAUUCAUAAGCACUCAUGAACGUUGCAGCAAACAUUUGCUUAUGUCUAAUACUCUUUAGACAAUCCACACACCAAUUCACGACAGUCUUUAUUCAUACCUACUUCCAACAUAUGAACGACUGUGGCCCGUUCGAAUAAUUUGACUGUUCUAAACCAAUUAAAUUAUUCAGGAAGUCAAAACAUGCAAAGUGAAACACAAGAAUAAUACUAAUCCCAUAUGGCCUCAAACCUUGAGUAUAAAUAAAACACCUUUUAUUUAUCACCAUAUUGAUUACUCAUUAUUUGUUGUUUUGGGUAAUCAACUUCUUACUUGAAUUAUUACAACACUUGUCCCAUGCUCUCAGCAUGCACACAAUGUUUACCUAUGGUUGUUACUUUGUGAAAUAGAUCAAAUUAACACAUUUCCAAUCAUACUCAUUUCACGACUCCUAAUCCUUUUCACAAGUGAAAGAAUAUCAAAUUCUUGCCACUUAUGGAAUAUGUUAGAUUCUAACAUUUUUUGCAAUGAUCCUUUCAUAAUGUCACUGCACUAAAGCCACAAUGACUAUUGCCAAUGAAAUUACAAAGUCCUCUAUCGGAAAUUGUUACAAGACAAUUCCAUGGAUGUGAUGUCUCUUACUCAAAGUACAUUCCUUUGAACAUCCUUUUGCAUAAAAUUUCUAAUCUAGACAUAGACUUUCAAUAUCCAACUCCCAAUAUGGAAACCUUUCCAUACUCACCAUAUGACAACUCAUUCUCAAUAGAAUAUUGUCUAUUCAUAAUAAUGUCGAUAUAUUCCAUCCAAUACUAUACUUUCAACUACUCACAAGCGACCAAUCCUCGGCGAACUUUGGAUUGUCCUUUGAUAAUUGUUUAAUUAUCUUAGUCAAAACCGAUUCAUGUCCUUUUCCCUCUAAAUGCGCUAGACAUUUGGAAAAUUUUAGAAUGGUCAAAUAUUACAGACUUUGCAAUCGAUCCUAUAUCCGAAGCUUAUGGGACACGAUGCAUAAUGUCUUACAUAAAGAUUUGAUACUUUAUCAAUCUUCUGCCAUAAUAUUUUAUGUGCUACGUUCUCACAAUUCGAACUAUAAAGAGAAAUGUCGUAAUCAUAAUCGAAAUUUAAGAACGCACUAUGUAUCAUUGACUAAUUUAUUAACAUUCCACAAACUAAGCCUUUAGAUUUGAAACGAAGCAUAAUAUUCUCUCCCUUAAUUAUAGCAAAACAACUAUUCAACCGUUGCGACUAUGCAAAGUAUAACUUUUGUUUUCUAUAAUUAAUACUGCUAACUUGCAAUACUUGCCUUAAUAAUCAUACAAAUAUAACAUUUAUGCUCCCAUUAUCAUGAUGAUUAUUAUAAACAUAACACUUAUGAUCCCACUAGCUUUGACAUGUAUUCAGAAACCAGCUUAACUUCUAGAAAAAUAAUACUUAUUUAAUUUCUUAAGUUCAUGUUUCUAAUACCUAAUGCUUUGAUAAUCUUUUAUCAAGGCUUCUUGAACUUAUACACCUUUGUCUUAGAUAGCUCAUAUGUAUGUCUAAACAAUUCAGACUAAUUGCCAAAUCUCACAAUUCGAAUCAUGGAAAGGGAUACCGUAACCAUAAUCGAAUUCGAGAAUCCAAUUUUCACAAUCACUAUCUUCUUAAAAUCUCUCUUAGUGAAAGAAUUUCCUCACAGUCAUUUUCAUGAAGGAGGGAAUCUUAUGACACUUAGAUUUUAAUGGUGUAUGUGUUCCUAUCCAUGUGAAUUUGUUAAAACCAAAGUUUAUGACAAAUUCAAACUCAUAUGGACCGAACUCUUAAUCUUGAUUUAUUGCCUUGUGGUAACACGGCUGCCCACCAUGUCUUCCAAGUAGUUAAGCAGCUCAUCCUUUCCUAUCAAUGUAUAUUUCAUUGAUCAAGGUGCUUGCCUUUUAUGCAUGCAAAUGAGAACUCAUAGAAGUCAUAUGCAUAAUUAACUCGAUUGGAACGGCACAGAAACAAGAUAGCGUCUACACGAUAGGUUGUAAACCUUAACUCGUGUGCUAGUGAUGAUCGAUGAGGUUUAUUCUUGAUUAGUUCUUAAAUUUUUUAAGACCAUUAAGACUCCCACUGACUCCUUGACAUAUAAGAUUCUUUUGUCAAUAAACAUUUCUUGACAAACAAAUAUUCAAAAGUUAGUGCAACUUUUAUCAAGACAAAACACAUCAUAAAGUUGGUCCUAGUUGGUCUUUGUCUUAUCCAAGAUAUCAUAACUUUCCAAUUUCAAAUGUGCAAGAAUAAAAAAAAACCUUUUCCAAAUUAUACAUUUGAUGAAUGUUAUAAACCUUCCUAAUACUUGUCACUCUAUGUCAUAAUCUUAACUCUAAGACUUGUUUCGGAAUGAAGUAUGAUUUCCUUCUUGAUUUAACCAUUUCUUCGAUUCUUAAUUCCUCUUCUUAGACAUACAAUUGUACUAAGACUCACUUAGAGGAUCAAUUGAUAUAUGGUUCUUAAUCAUUAAGACAUAUCAUAAAGCAUAAAAGGUACUCUCCCGUCUUCUUAGAAUAGAGAAACUUUUAUCUUUCUGCCUACUUGAUUCUUCUUAUUCGUUCUGCUAUUGAUUUAAACUCUUUCAAUCAAUUCAGAAUUACACUUAAUCUUGUAAGUAUAAUUAUAUUUACUAAACCUUUAGUAAAUCAUGACGAAUAUCUUUGUUACUCUUGUAGUGGACUUGAUCAACACACAACUUUGUGUACUCGAUCUCUUAGUCCUUCACUUGACACUUGGUCAAUGGAUUAGUCUAAUUUACAAAUGUGAAAUUUCUCAUUCAUCAUGCAACCAAGUUGCAUGANUGUCCACUUGAAACUUGGGCGAUGAGAAACUCUCCCUAUUUGGUAAAUUCUUGACAUUUCCACAAACAUAAUUAAGAAUCACAUCCACUCGUUGUAGAAAUAUAUGAACAUCAAUUUUUCAUAACGAUUUCAUUGCAAGGAAAUAAAUAAAUGAGUAAAACCAAAAAAUUUAUUUUAUUCAUAAAAGCAGCGGAAAACAUUUGUCCUUACAAUGCAAAAUCAACUGAAAAUUAUGUAGUCAAAAAGAAAAAUUUCUAAGAACUCUAUCAUAACUUUCUAAGCUCAAAGUCUAAUCUUCAAAUCCNNNNNNNNNNNNNNNNNNNNNNNNNNNNNNNNNNNNNNNNNNNNNNNNNNNNNNNNNNNNNNNNNNNNNNNNNNNNNNNNNNNNNNNNNNNNNNNNNNNNGUCCUUUAUAUAGGGCUCAUCCUCCGAAAUUAGGGUUUUCACCACACAACACCAACUCGCCGAGUUGGCCAUUUAACACGCGACCUGAAUCGCGACCCUACUCGCCGAGUCCACCCAUGGACUCGCCGAGUUGCCCUUUCACAUUUACACUUUGAACCCUGAACUUGCACCCCUGAACUUGGGAUGUUACAGAAAACCCCCCAACGUCACCCCUGGUGGCAAACUGAUCAAGACUAGUUGAUUGGGAAUUAUAGGGAAUUAAAAUUUAAUUUCAUCAUAUUCUCAUGUUUGGUUGAAGAUUUGUUAAUGAAUUGGAUUCCUAGAUGAAAUGAACUUGAUCAAAUGAUGGGAAGUCCAUUCCAUUAAAAAUAAGAUGAAAUUAAAUUAUUUUUCUAGAGAAAAAUGUUCAUCAUUGCCAUGAUAUCCCUUUUUUGUGUCAUCAUUUCUUGCAAGCCAUAUAUAUAUAUAUAUAUAUUUCAAUUUUAUUUUCUAUCAACCUAACAUAAUAUAAAAUUAGAUUGUGUUUCAUGACAGAUUUCAAUUCUUUAAAAGAUUUGAAUUCCUUCAUAAACAUCCUGCUAACCAAACACUACCUAAAUUUUUUUAUUAAUAUUAUAGGGUGGUGGUAUGCAUGAAAGAUUGAGCGGGAUUACAUGGUGUAUAAAUUGAGCUAAUGAGGUAAAGAAGACCUCAUCUGGAUGGUUGUCCCAAUUAAGGGUAGAUACAAAAAAAAGAUAGAUAGGUAGGAGGCGAGAAUGCCUCCCUCAUAUGUUUGGUGCCGGUUGUACCAUCUCAUUUCCUAUGGUCAUGCACAUCACCCUUAGUGUUUGUCAUCUCAAAAUGGUAGUGUUAUACCUAAUCAUCGUCAUCAAUGAUAGAAACGAAGAUGAUACAGGAGGAUAACGAGGAUAUGAGAUGACAAUGGGCGGAGGUUGUGGGACAUAACUAUGAUAAUAAGCAAAAUAAAUGGCAUAUCAAUAUAAAAACACAUAAUCAUGGUGAUUUGUUAUCAAAUUUACACAUAACCAUAAAUAUGAUAGAAUUAAUGAACAAAUAUCGGUUAAAAAUGUUUUUUUUUUGAAAAAAAAGUUAGAUUCUAUAAUUUAAUUAAGAAAAUAUCAUCUUGAAAUGGUUUUCAUGUAAAAAAUGAUUAUUACUAGCAAUAUUAAAUUGCAUUUAGGUCGAGGUUCACAUAUAUCGGUUUUAAAUUAGUUUCGGUUUAAAAAAAACAGUUUUCUCUAUACUUGUAACACCCCGAGUUCAGAAGUGCAAGUUCAGAGUUCUUAGUGUAAAUAAGGAAGGUUGACUCGGCGAGUCGAUGGGUAGACUCGGCGAGUCGAGUCGCGGUUCAGGUAGCAUGUUAAAGUGACCAACUCGGCGAGUCGGCGGCUGGACUCGGCGAGUUGGUGCUGGAAUGAGAAAAAACCCUAAUCUUCGGGGUUGCCCCUAUUUAAAGGACUUUAUGUCCUUCACCCAGACCCCUAAUCCCCCAGAGAGUUCCACAAGCCCUAAUAUCCGAGAGUGUGAGCUUGGAGAAGUGUUUGGAACUUUGAGGAGUGAACUUUGUGAAGGGGACUUGUAGAUCAAGAGGCUAGCACCAAGGAUUUCGUGUGAAUUAAGAACACACUCCAUUUUGGGCACGUUUUGGGAGGUAAUAAGCUGUUAUCUUAACCUUUUCUUCUAGAAUCAUUCAUAUGUGGAGGCUAAGGCUUUCCUUGGUUAAGGAAUUUUAUUAUGGAAGCUAGAUCUGAAGCUAAAACUUCAUAUCUGAACCUCUUUUGAGUCCUAAGUCCAUAAAGUUUCCAGUUCUUGCAAGGAUGAGACUCUCCUAAGGGGUAAAGCUCCAUUGGAAGCUUAGUUUGGUCAUUUAGAGCCCCUAGAGCCUUGCAUACACGUAAAGUUUGCAACUUUACGUGAUAAUCAUGCCCUAGAAGCUUGGAUCUACAAUAUGGAGUUGUUGCAUGGCUUAGAAAGCCACUGUAUGGAUUAAGAACUGAAGCGACUCGGCGAGUCACAUGUGUGGACUCAACGAGUUGUAUGAAUAUGUGCAUGGACUCGAUGAGUUGGAAGAACAACUCGACAAGUCUGUUGAAGAUUGCCUUGGACUCGACGAGUCUGGUCGAGAAGUCCUAACCUUUUUUGGUUGAGCUGUGAAUCAGUGAGUCGAGGAAUGACUCAGUGAGUUGAGCAGGAAGGGACUCGGAGUUUAUUGGACUCGACGAGUCUUGGGGCGACUCGGCGAGUUGAGUCGUGGCAUGGGAGUUUCUGAGCAUAGGAACUCGACGAGUCAACGGGUUGAAUCGGUUAGUAGGGUCAACCAGGAAGGUUGAAUUUGACUGAGGACUUUAACUUUGACCAAGGGUUGACCAGUUGACUUCCAAGGGUAUUUUGGUAAUUAUUGGUGUUAAUUGGUUUUGGUUAUUUGGUAAUGAUCAGUGGUGGAGUUCGUGCUGGUGGUCGGAGCAGCGUGGCCUUAUUUCUUCAAGUCAGCAGUUGCAGGUGAGUUAUCCUCACUAUAUCGACAGGGUCUAAGGCACCAAGGUCGACCCUUUAUCGGAUGAGAAUCUGGGUAGUUGUUUGUUAUGUUAUUGCUUGGCUAUGAAUGCAUCAGGGUAGUUAGGAUGGUAUAUAUCAGAGACCUGGUUAAGGUCGGUAUCCUGGUAUAUAGGAUGAUGCUAUGCUAGUGACUGGUUAGGAUGUUGCUAUGUUAUGUGAUCUACUAGAUCGGUUGAUUAGUUGUGAAUUGCUAUAUGAUUAUAUGUUUAUGUGCACAUGGUUGUUGGACUGGGGUUGGGUUGAGGCGGGUCCUGCUUCGUGCUGUAGGCCAACAUACCCAGGGCGGACCGGUUAGACCAAAGGCCCGGCGAGCGGUCCGGAUAGGCUGAAGGCCCCAAGAGGGCGGACCAGACGUGUCGAGGCUCGGAUAGUGGACCAGACAGACUGAAGGCCCGGUGCGGGUGGACCAGUCACACUGUAUACUUGAUAUGCAUGGUUGUUCUGUUUAUGAUAUGAUAUGAUAUGAUAUGAUAUGAUAUGUGUAUGGUGUUGUGGUUGGUAUUUUGGGGGUAACUCACUAAGCUUUCGGGCUUACAGUUUCAGUGUAUUGUUAAGUCCAUUUCCCUUUGAAAAAAUUAAUUCACAAAGUUAAUUACCUUGUUAAGUCCAUUUCCCUUUGAAAAAAUUAAUUCACAAUAAUCAACCAAGAAAAAUAUUAAAGUCUAGUAGUUUUUAUGUAAUUUGUCCUAACUCAAAAUAUAACAUAGCAUAAAACUAUAAAAACAUCAUGAAAACUUUAUGAAAAAUUGUUACAAAUAUGGUCAAUUUUUUAAACUCGAUUAAAAGCGUAAAAUUGAGACGAACUUGUAAAAUAAAAAAUUUAAACCGUAUUCAUAACAAAAUUUAAUAUUUAAAAUUUGGAAUGAAAUUUCAAGGGAAAUGGACUUAACAAGGUAAUUAACUUUUCAGUUUGUUCACAUCUGGGUAACUAUCUUUUUUUUGUACACAUCUAGGUAACGAACUUUUUGGAAGUGUUCACAUAUGACCAUUAUGACCGGCUGUAGCAGGUUAUAUCCGGUCAUAACCAGUCAUAAUGGUCAUAUGUGAACAUUUUCAAAAAGUUCGUUACCUAGAUGUGUACAAAAAAAAGAUAGUUACCCAGAUGUGAACAAACCGAAAAGGUAACAGUAAAAUACACGAAUGAUCUCUGUAGUUUGGGUAAUUUGUGUGUUUGGUCCAUAACUUAUUUUUUAAACUUAGAUGAUCCCUAUUAUUUAUUUUUGUUGUGCAUUUGGUCCCUGUCCUACCUCAAAAGACUAUUGUGCCCUUUUUAUUUUUUUUUCUUAUUUAUGUAUUUAUUUUUUAUAUAUUAAAAAAAAUUAAUAGACCUCAUAUAUCUGCAUCUCUUCACCCUAAAUCUGAAACCACAUUUGAGAAAUUUAAAUUGGGUCCCACAAUAAUCUUUUGAGGUAGCACAGGGACCAAAUACACAACAAAAAUAAAUAGUAAGGAUCAUCUAAGUUAAAAAAUAAGUUAUGGACCAAACGCACAAAUUACCCAAACUACAGGGACCAUUCGCGUAUUUUACUGUUACCUUUUCGGUUUGUUCACAUCUGGGUAACUAUCUUUUUUUGAACACAUCUAGGUAACGAACUUUUUAGAAGUGUUCACAUAUGACCAUUAUGACUGGUUAUGACCGGAUAUAACUUGCUACAACCGGUCAUAAUGGUCAUAUGUGAACACUUACAAAAAGUUUGUUACCUAAAUGUGUACAAAAAAAAGAUAGUUACCCAGAUGUGAAAAAACCGAAAAGUUAAUUACCUUAUUAAGUCUAUUUCCCAAAUUUCAAAUAUAAACUAAAGUUUAACUUCGAAUGUUAUGCUAUAUCUUUUUAUAGUAUUUUUUCUUUAGUUAGCAAUUAAAAACAAUUCCAAUACUAUCCUUCCUAAAAACCUGUCAAACGUUUUUUUAACGCAGUUAAAAAUAAGAAAUCACACACAACAAAACCUUAGGCAGCUAAGUAUACACCCUUAUAAAUCAUUAUCAAUUCUUUCUGUGGCUCAAAUGCAUCGUUAUACAGUAAAUUGUGGCCAAAUUACGAACCUAGUCGUCAAUGUUUAUUUGAAAUUAAAAAUAUACCCUCCUUCCUUAGGGAGGCCAAGCCCAUAUCCGUUAUUUUCUAUGAAGCCGAAGGACAUAACUGGAAAUUGCAAUGACUAUAAAUCCCCGAUAUCGAACAAAGGCACACCAAAAUUGGGGAUCUGAAGAUGAUGCUCGGAAAAACAAAGGAGGCUCCGGCGAGAGAGACGGGAAGUUUCGAAAGGGUGGUUGCCCCUCUCUUGCCAACCCAUAAUCGGAUCUGAUCCGAUCAUGUUGAGCCGGUGAGUCUAUCCCCUCUUUCGUCAUAAAACAACAGCCCUUGAAAAAAAUAAAAAUAAAUAAAUAAAUAUAUAUAUAUAUAUAUAUAUAGAAAAGGUUCUUUUUUUCAUAAUCAUAGCUCUACAUUUUUUGAAAUGAGGAGAAUUGUGAGCAAUGACAUUGGAUAAAAGAUGUUGUGUACAAAUUACUUCCCAUAAAGAAAAAAGGUCUAUUGUGUUUUUGUGUGUUUAUAUAUGUAACUGCGAUGGUAUUUUGAGAUGGCGAUGAUAUUUGAUUUCUGUAAGGAUUGUUAUCCGGGCAUCAUUAAUCGGGCACAGGGUGAAACUCGGCCCGUAUCUUGGCGGGGCAACCCGGAUGGCAUGCUUACGUGCAACCGGUGUUGCAGCCAUGGCGGUGUCCGACCCCUUUGUUUGACUUCAACUUACAGAUCUGAGCCUAAUUCUCUUCACUUGAUUUUUCAAAUGCUUUAAUUUUGUAAUUCAUUAUGUUUUAAAUUACUCCUUUUCCAAAGAGUAUUUUUAUCUAAACAUAAUACAAACAUGUCAAACUAAUAAAAAUAAAAGUAAUUGCUCCAGCUUACAACUUUUUUUUUUUUUUUUUUUUUGUUAUGACAUGCCCAUAUUUAGUUUUUUCAAUAAAAUUUUAUUUUGCAUCAAGAUAAAAGUGCAUGCAACACCAUAUCAUCUAUAAUUAUACAUGCAUUUUAACAUUCCGUUUUUAGGGGUUUACUUUGUAUGAAGUUGAUAAUAGUUACUUUGUAUGAAGUUGGAAAAUACAAAUUUAUAGUAAAAGUUGUAAAAUGGUUAUGAAGUUGAUAAUAGUUAAGAUAAUUUGAUAACAUGUGAAGAAAUGUUUUUUUGUACACAAAGUAUCAUACUAUAGUUAAAAUUCUGAUUCUCAUUACAAUGUUGGUAUCUCUUAAAUGCUUUAAAGUUCUAAAAUACUGUAAAAAUACAUCAAAAUGGUAUUUUAGAUUUUUUAUAGUAAAGUAAUUUGUCAACUUAAAUAAAUUUAGUAUAAAGACUAAUUGUAUAACGGUAUAAUGUGGCGAGGCAUAAAGUGUUAUUGAUCGGCUUUGCAUUUGUUGGAUAUGUGUUGAUAUGCUGAUCAAAUGUGAAGAAAUUGAAAGCGAAUUUUGUGUUUGUUGUUGCGUUUAGUAUCAUUUUGAAUUCAUUAUAGUCCAUUUAGCAGGCGUCCAUUCAGAUCAUUUUUGUUGCUUGAACUCCUUUCGAAACUUCAUAGUUUGUAUCAAUCUCUCACUUUAGGUCUUCUUCCUUUGAAGAAAAAUACUUCCAAGUUUUUUAACAUACAUUGAUAAUAAAUGGAUGCAAUACAAGUCUAAAUGUAAAUUCCUUAAAAUUGAAGUAAACCAUUGUUACCCAAUGACUAGACAAUAAAAUGACAACAUCAAGUGCCUUUUGUUCCUGAAGAGAAUGUCAUUUUGCCCCCCAUCAAAAUAAACCACAACAACGAAUAAGACAACAUCAACCUUUUUUUAUUUUUACCUAAAUUACAUCCAUCAAGCAUUCCUAGCAAAGUCGAGCAAGAAGAGGGAAGACACUUGAAGAUUUUUGACCAUUUCAACACACCAAAAUUGCAGGAAAAGAAAGAAAAGAUGGUCAAUGCUUUCAUCCAUUCUUGCAAACAGGGCAAAUAGUGGAAACCACUCCAAUCCUACGACGAACCAGAUUAGGAGGGGUAAAGAAUGUGAUGUUGAAACAAGCGCCAAAUAAAAAAGUUAAUUUUAAGAGGCAGCCAAUUAACCCAUUGAAAUUUUAUAAAUAUGAAAAUGAUGGAGGUUUGAAGAACAUUCAACAAAACCAUGCACCACUAUCAACAAACAUUGACCACCAAAUACUACCACCAUCAAUCUCCUGUCAUCAUACCUAUUAACCAAAAGACCAUUAAACAAAAUUCAACCUAGAAACAAUAUCUGUAAAGAUACAAAGACUUGCAUAUUUUUGACAUAAAAAAAACCAUUUAAUAAUCUCAAUAGUUCAGUCACAAAACCACCAACACAAAAAAAAUGCUGAAUUGCUUCGAGAUAUGCAUGAUAACUCCAUAUUCUUGUUGUUAGAACAACAUAAAAAUCAAAUCAAAUGAUCAACAAAACCUAAAACCCCAUAAAACUCCACAAUAAAACAAGCAUGUAAAUAUAAUUCAAGUGAUUAUAUUGAUUAAAAGUUGAAAAAACAUCAUAAUAGUGAUCUAAACAAACAAUUCAUUAGUUUUGAGGCCAUUAGGGUGGUGGGUCUGGAGAGAUUGUAGCUCCGAUGGUCGCCAUUGAAAAUUCUAUCCUUCUUAAAAAAUCUCACAAAAAAUGUGAAAAAAAUGUUUGAGGAACAUUAUCAAGAAUAAUGAUGGGUAUAUGAGAUUUAGGUUAUCAAUCUCUUGAAGCAGUUCAACCUGCCGCCGACAGCUUCAACUUGCUGACAACCUCCGACCCGUUGUUGACACCAUCGAUUUCUAAAAACCCACCACCGGUUAGGUCUGCCAACAUUGAGAUGAAGAAAUAACUCCAUUCUCAUGAUUCUAUUUACCAGCUUCAUCCUUUCCAACAAUGAAAUCAAAAUCAUUUUCCAAACAAGAUGCAUAAACAACUCUAUCGUAUCCACAGAUGAAAUCAAACCUAAUAAGCAAAGCUUGAAGUCUAACUUGCCAUAUGGCGCACCCUUUUCCCUUCUUCUGGUCCUUCACCUCCGGCGCACCAUCACCCCUCUGAGGAGGUAGCGAUGAGGAAUUUAGUGAAAAAAUAAAUCAAGGUAGGAUGGAUUUAGAUGUUGAAGGAAAAUGAUCGAUGUCUCAUAUAGGCAGACAGGGAUGAUGGACUUCGACAUAAUGGCAGUGGAUCUCAGACAAUUGUUUGGCAACAUGUGUCGGUGAUGCAGGUCGUUGGUGACAGUGGAAGGAGAUAGUUGAAGAAGAAGGGGCUGAAAGAGGUCGUAACUUUGCUUAUGUUUUAUGAAAAAUUAUUAUUUAUUUAUUUAUUAAUAUAUAAAUUAUAAAUUUAGUUAUAAAAGAAAUAUGUAAAUCAUAAAAUUAAUUAUAAAAGAAAUUAAUAACGACACAAUAGUCUUUUUAGAUCAAACAAGGACCAAGUUUGCAACAAAAAUACAUCUCAAGGACCAUCAGAGUUAAGAAAAAAAUUUAUAAAAUAAACGCACAGAUUACCUCAAACCAUAAGGACGAUCCGUGUAAUUUACUCAUUCUUUUUUAUUAAUCAUGCAAGGAACCCAUUUUACUAUUAAGAUUAAGAUGGCCAGGAGUGGGCAACGACAGUUGCCGUUAUUCCAACGUGGACUAGCAAAAACGACGUUAUAACACCUGAAACACCGCACCCCACAUGCGUUAUUACGCGUUAUUGUGUUAACGCUUGAAAACGACAAUUUUUUCGAUACAAAUUCAACUCCAACGUAUACAUUUCGAUUUUGAACCGUUGUAAAACUGUCAAAAACANAAAAACAUAAUAAUAAUAAUAAUAAUAAUAAUAAUAAUAAUAAUAAUAAACAAAAUAAACUAAUGAACUUUAAUUUGGAAAUUUGGAAAUAAGAAAGUAAAUAUAUUAAUCAAAUUGAUAUUCAUUUAUUACUACAUUUAUUGUAAUUAUUAUAUUAAAGUAUUAUGUGGAAUUUAUUAAAAUAUAAAAACUCAUAAAAUGAAUAUGGAAAAGAAAUUAAUUCAAAAUAACCACAAAAUGACAUUUGUCAAAUUAAAUGAGAGUGUGACAUGUAGCAAAAACAUUCAUUUAUUAGAGUGUGUAUGUGUGUGUGUAUAUAUAUAUAUAUAUACAUCUACCUUUUUUUAUCUCAUAUCAAACCAUAUUUCAAAGCUUCAAAAAAUUUCUCUUUUGAAUACUAUUGAUCAAAACUCCAACACUCCUCAUCCAAACACAAAUACACCUCUGCCUCUCGAUUUUGCACAAUACGAAAUGUACGCGAACAUCCUCAACAUUCAAAGCAACUUUUCAAUCCCGCCUCACCCCCACCAGAAUUCCCUAAAAACCUUCCACAAACCUUUUCAACCCCAUUUGCUACAAUGCAACAAAAUACAGCACAAUCGCCACCCACCCAACAAACGGUACCCGAGACGCAAGCGAAGGGGGAGGGGGAGCAGAAAAAACGGCCCAAAAGAGAAGAGCACGAAGGAAAGGGAAAGUGGUUGUGGUUGAACAAUCAGAAGACGAACCUCCAACAUGGUGGACCGCGGAUGAGGAAUACGCGUUGGGGGUGGCUUGGUGCAGGAUAUAAAAAAAUCCAACGCAAGAAAACGAUAUGCAAAAAAUUACUUUUUGGGAAGCCGUGAUCGGGAAAUUUCAUACCAUUUUGAAUAAAUAUGAAAAGUACCGUAAUCACGACAUGUUGAGUAGCAAAUGGAAUCAAAUAAGCAAGAAGUGCACCAAUUUCAAUUCCGUCUGUAACAAACUUUUCCCCGCACAAGCAAAGUGGUGUGACCGAUUUUGACGUUUAUAGAGAGGAGAGGGAACAAUAUCAUGUUGAGACCGGUCACGUUUUUUAGCACAAAAAAAUUUGGGCGAUUGUCAAGGAAGACUCAAGUGAUGUUUCGGACGCACGUACGCACGAACAUCGACCUCAAUGCGGACACAGAUGGGAUACGGGGCGACUUGAACGACCUUGAAGAGAUCUCCCCGCCUCGACGACCGAUAGGCCGCGACAAAGCGAGGCGAGCUCAACGACACACGGAUGAAGCCGAACGUAGACGUCGAGAGCAAGCCAAAAUGAAAAAAAAAUGACGAUCACAACGAAAUCGCGCGUAAAGAUAUGAGUUGCAACUAGGGGUGAGCAUACCCAAACCAAGAAACCGACUAAAACCGACGAAACCGAAACCGAAGCAAAACCGACGGUUAGAGUUUAAAUUUUUUUAAAAACUGAAAAAUCGGGUUCGAUUUUGGUUUUUACCUAGAAACCGACCCAUCCAACUCGACAAACCGACCUAUACUUAAAACCGACAAACCGACCCAUACUUGAUUGUGUUUUGCUUGUAACAGACUAUUUCGGGCUUUGGUUGUAACUUGUAAUAAACUAUUUAUUGUAAGACUCAUGUUUUUUAAAGUAUUCAACUUAAAUUUGGUGUUUUAUGAAGUAUUUAAAUUGUUGCUUUCAUUUAUGGAAAAUGGGUUAAAACCCAAAACCCAUGGGUAUAAGCCCAUAACCCAUGAGUGUAUAGGUUGAACCCAAGAAACCGAAAAAACGUCCAAACCGACCUCAUAACUGAGAAAUCGAACCGACCAGAAACCGAUCGUAUUUGGUUCUAAAAACCAGAAACAUACCAUUUAUGAGUUGGGUUGGGUUUGAGUCCAAAACCGACCCAAACCGACCCAUGCACAACCCUAGUUGCAAUGGGAUCAUUUGAACUUCCUUCGUCGUGAAGCCGAGGAAGAUCGCAUUGCGAAAGAUUUGGCAAUGCUUUAAACUAGCGAGAAGAAUUUGUCACCGAGACGGUUGGAGGUACUCCGAAAAAUGAAGGCGAAGAUCGAGCAAGAAUAUUUAGUCGAAGAUUAGUGUUUUUUUUUCGUUGUAAUUUUUUUUUCAGUCAAUGUUUUUUUUCGUUAUAACAUUGUUUUUAUUUUUUUUCAUUGUAAUGUAGUUUUAAUUAGUAUUUAUUUUAAUUAUGUGUUAUUUAAUUUCUAUGUUUUUUAAAUUAUUAUGACAUCUACUAUAAUAAGUUAAUGUUUUUUGAUACAUGUCACAUUCUCAUUCAAUUUGCCAAAUGUCAUUUUGUGGUUAUUUUGAAUUAAUUUAUCUUCCAUAUGUCAUUUUAUAAGUUUUUCUAUUUUAAUAAAUUUCAUAUAAUACUUUAAUGUAAUAAUUACAAUAAAUGUAAUAAUAAAUGAAUAUUAAUUUUAUUAAUGGACUUAUCUUCUUAUUUCAAAAUUCCCAAAUUAAAGGUCAUUAAUUUAUUUUGUUUAUUUAUUUAAAUUUAAAAGAUAAAAAAAAUCAAUUUUAAUAAAUCAUUAUUUCUUAUUUUUUUAUAAAUCCAAAGUUCCUAAAUAUUUAGAAAUUUAUAUUUAAUUUUUUAAGUAACUCAUAUAAUACAUGAAUAUUACAUGUAGUAAAUUAAAAAAAUAAAACAACAUAGAAAAUGGAAAUUAUAAACAUUGAAAAAAAUAAAUAGAAAAUGUUAGGUGUUAUUACACUAAUAGUAUGAGUAUGAUGAUGAGGUAGAAACUUUGGGUAGAGUUGUUCCCUAUUUGGUUAAAACCGAAUUAUACAAUCAGACAAUUUGCAUUAGACUAUUUUGUUCGGAUAUUCAGAUUUUUGGAUUGAUUUUAAACUAAACCAAAUUAUUAUUUUUGGAUUUCGGAUUGGUUUUGGUUUAUAAAAUAAGAACCGAAUAGUCCAGAAAAACCGAACAACAACUUAUUAUUUAUUUUUACUAUAUAUCUUUAAUCAUUUAAAAAUUUACUAAAUUAUUUUUUAAUUAUUAGAAACUUUUAAUCAAGAUAGUACUUUAAUAUGUAAUUUUUAUCAAAAGUUUUUUGUUAAUAAAUAUUAAACUAUAACUAAUUUUCUUAAUACUUGUUUAUAAACUAUAAUUCAUAGCUAAAAAGUUUUAUUUAGUUAUUUUUAAAGAGUUAACUAAUAUUUAAAUUAUACAUUAUUUAAAAUAUUUUGCCUCUUAAAACCGAUCCAAUCAAAUUAUAAUUUGGUUGGAUCGGAUUGGAUUUGAAAUUAGUUUGAAUUAUUCAAAUCCAUAUAUUGAAAAACCUAAAUUGAUUUGAAUUUACUUCAUUGAAUGGAAUAGAAUGGAAUAAAACCUCUAUACACAAGAAACAACCUUAACUUUGAGUUUGAGUGUGAUAAAAUACUAGCAGCCCUAACGAUCCAAGCCCAACAAAAAAAUGCGAAGUCCGUAUAAAAUAAGAAAAAUUAGGUGAAAAUUUGGAGAUGAGGCGUAAUGUUGUUCUUUGCUCAAGCGAACGAGGCUCCGGCGAGGGUAAUAGGGUUUUCUGAGAGGAAUCCUUUCUUGCCUUUGCCAUUUGAUCCUGCGAUCAAGUAUGAGCCGAUGAUUUCGAUGUCGAUUCGCCACCCGAUAAUCUCUCUCAAACAUACACACAUACACAAACAUAUACAUAUACUUCACAUUUCUCCAUCCAUGUCUACGAAUGAUAAACAAAACUGAUCAUCAGCGUUGCGGCAUUCGCCUAGUAUAUAUAUAUUGUGUUAUUACUGUUGCUGUUGUUGCUAAUUUAUUCUUCCGAUGAGGCGGUGACGAUGAGAUGUAGAAUGAGCAAUAUCGGAAUUUGGUGACCUGAUCUGUAUCUUGGCUGGGCAAUCCGGAUGGCAUAUGUUGUUCAUUUGGAGAUUUCUCUUCGGAAAUCGAUAUGCAUUGCAACUGCGAUUGCAGCCACGACGGAUUUGGGCAAAAAAAAUUCGAUUACAACAGAUCUGAGCCUCCGUUCUACCCUCGCAUCAUGCGUUUUGGUCUAGGUACUUUACCAUUAUUAUUCGUUCCAUAUUUUUAACAAAUAUAUUGUCUUGUUACUCAAUCCUGAUUACCUGGAUGUCUAAUUGUUUGAACUCUGAAUUUAUGAACCCUGAUAUUCCGAACCAGGGUGACUGUUGGUUAAUAAUAUAUAUUAGUUAUAUGUUUAGUUUAAAAUCAAUAAAUUAUUUUCUCAAACCCGAUAGUAAUUCAACGAGUAUCAUGUUUCAAACGAGUAUUUAUAAGCUACGUUAUUGAAAUAUAAUAUUAUAAAUGCAUUGCAGUUACAAAUCUAAUAUUAAAUGUUCGUUCAAUUAUUAUAUAGGUGCUCCUAAAUAUAUAGAUAGAAAAAGUUGGUUAUCAUCUAUGUUUUCCUAAAUAUAUAGUUGAAAUGAUAUUCGAUUUAGUUACUAAUGAUUCUUUUAUUACCAUCUAUAUUUUCCUAAAUAUUUUGUGCUAUGUUUUGAAAAUUUUCAUAUAUUAAAAUUGGAUCAUCGAUAAUUGCAAUUGUUUUUGUCAAUUUGGAUGAUAUUAAAGUGCCAGAUAUAUUGUUAGGAUCAAUUUUGAUUUAAAAGUUAAUUUAUUAUUUUGUUGUAGGGUUUAGCAAUUAGGAUAUGUUUUCAAACACUUUCACACAAAUAAAAUUCACAACUUCUGUCCAACUUUGCUUAUUGUUACAUGAUUCGUUUCUUGGUUUCACCUUUUGGGUGUAAUCAAGAUGAUCAGAAGAGCAAGUGUCAUUGUUUGAUUCUCAGAGGCUAUAACAAUGAAUUUUGAUCUCAGACUUUGUUUAUCUGAUCUGUAUCUUGGCUGGGUAAUCCAGAUAGCAUGUGCUUGUUUUCUAGAAACUAUUUCUAUGAAUGUUACUUGCAACUGUGAAUCUGUGAUUGCAACCAUGGCAGAUUUUGAUGAUUCAAUUUCCCUAGAUUGUAACAGAUCUGAGCCUUGACUCAUCUACAAAGCCUAAUCUUGAUCAUUAGUCAAAGGCUAAUGCAACGAAUAGCAACAAUACUUUCAUUUAUUUGUUUAUUAUAGCAUCCUGCUUCUGUUUAUCUACUUUAAUAAAUGAAGGUUUUUUUAUCACUUGUCACACUCUCAUUCAAUUUGCCAAAUGUUAUUUUAUUAUUAAUUUGAAUUAAUUUUUUUUCACAUAUCAUUUUAUGGGUUUACCUAUUUUAAUAAAUUUCACAUGAUACUUUAAUGUAAUAAUUACAAUAAAUAUAGUAAUAAAUGAAUAUGAAUUUCAUUAAUGGAUUUACCUUCUUAUUUAAAAAAUUUCAAAUUAAAGCUCGAUAGUUUAUUUUGUUUAUUUAUUUAAAUUUAAAAGUUAAAAAAAAUUAAUUUUAAUAAUUCUUUAUUUUUCUUAUUUUUUUAUAAAUCCAAAGUUUUUAAAUAAUUAGACCUUUCUAUUAAAUUUUUUUAAUUAACCCAUGUAAUACAUUGGUCUUACACCUGGUUUCUAUUAGAACUUGGAAAAUCUAUCCAAUUAAAGCAAUGGUGGUAGUGGACUGGUGGUGAUGAUGAUGAUGACGACGACGAUGAUGAUGGUUAAGUUUAUGGAAAAUCUAUCCAAUUGAAGCAAUAUUAGUAAUAUUUUAAUGGAAAAGGCGAUGAUGAUGAUGAUGAUGAUGAUGGGUGUUAUUCUAAGCAAAUAUGAAGAGACACUGAAGAUUGGUUCUCUGUAUCUUGGCAGGGCAACUUCUUGAUGGCAAAGUGAGAAGUGACUUUGCAACUGUGUUUGUUUGCAGCCAUGGCAGAGUCCCCAUCUUCUUUGUCAUCAUUCCCUAAUUACAGAUCUGAGCCUAAGGAUUUUCCUGUUGCUAUUAUGGUUUUUGAAAAAAUAAAAUAAAAUUCAUGGAGUGAUUAUCAUUGAACUGUUUGAAUUUAAGUUAUUAGAAUUUUGUGAAGGGAAAAUAUUUAAUCAUAUCAUUUUUCUCUAACUUAAUUAUUCGAAUGGGGAAGAAUUGAGAGUUAUGGAAAAUGAAUAUAUAUCGGACAAUUUAAGUAUAUUUGUUUAAUUGCUUAGAGUUUUUGCUUGAAUAUAGGUUUGACAACUUUACAAACUGCAACGUCUCAAGUUAGUAUUAUAUCUGGCUUUUCAGUUAAAAAAAAAAGCUAAUUCAGUUUUUUACUUAUAAGACCAAACUAUACUUUAUAGACCUACUCCACAAGAUUUUUUUUCUUCUUUAAAUUGACAACAAAGAAAAGAAGUUUAUGACAUGGGAAAUUGAGUUGUUAUAACCCUGAUUUUUUUUUUUUAACUCUUUCAACCUUAGCACCAUGUGGAUAUGCUAUGAUAUAUUUAUGUGGUUUACUUUAUUCUUUUCAAGAGUUAAUGUGGAAUUUAUAAAAUGAAUAAUGCAUAUUCUACCAAAGAUUCUUCUUUUUGUGACCUUUUUACAAAUUAGUCAAACCUUUAAAAGCAAAAAAUCAUCAAAAAAAUUGGAUGGAACAUUGAUGGGUGGGUGGAUUUUGUGUUGGGUGUUGAAGAAAGCAAAGUAAUCGCAACAGAAAAUGGGUAAGCAUCAAGAAAUAGCAACCUACUUUGGAUUCAUUUCUUAAAAUACUUUAUCUUAGAAACAAUUGUUGUAGUUGGGCUUGCUUAAGCAUUCAUAAAUAACUUUCUAGAAAUAGAUAUAUGAUACAUGGAGAUCUAUCAUUGGUUUUCAUCAAACAUUUAUCGAUUAUGCAAUUCUUUUUUCCAUGUUUCAGAUUGGUCAAAAUUGAGGACAAAGGAAGUUUGCAACAAGUAAAAAAAUUGAAGUACAUUAGUAUUUUUGUAUCAUACACUAUGUGUUUGGAACUAAGAAAAAGUUAAGACAUUAUUCACUUUUAGAGUAGUGCAAUUCUAUGCAUUUUUUGUUGCUAAAAAGUAUGUUGUUACAAAGGGAAAAACAUGAAGCUAUUUUGUAUCCAUAUGCUUUUCUUUUAUAAAAAUGUCAACAAAAUUCCACACUACCCUUCCGCCCAAUGUGGAAGGCGGGAGACCCCCUAUUUGUUAUUAUUUAUAAAAAUUAUGAGUAUUAUUAUCUGUAAUAGAUUGUAAAUAAAGAAAACUGUUGUAGGGACUAGAUCUAAACAUAGAACCAAAGUAGAAUUAAAAAUACACUGGAUCUUAAAAAUAGAAUCAAGCAAAAUACUUUGGUAUGAACAUAUAACAAAAUUAUGUUUUGCUACUUGGACCAUAAAGUUGUGGAAGAUAGUGACCAUUUCCGUGUGAUUUUGGGAAACUUGGGAAGAUAUUACAUAAUGAAGAAAAAGUUGAUUGGGAAUGUAAAUUUGCAAGGGCGUUUUCUGUUUACUAGCUGAUAAUAACCGUAUCUAGUUUGAAUAAUGUAUUCGAUUCAAAAAAGAACGAAUGAUGAAGUUGAAAAUUAAACCAUUAUCAACAUUAAACCUCAAACUCGUAAUAAUAAUAAUAAUGUAAUAUUACCUCCGUUCCAAAUUGAUAGUCUACUUUUGAAUUUUGAAGUCUUUUUUUUUUUUUUCAACUUUGACUUUAAAUAAUUUUAUUUUUGAUAGAUAAUAAUUGAUGCAAAAUACAUGAAUGGAUUGUAUUUUAAAUGUUUUUUCAUUGUUAUAAGUUUCAUCAAGUAAUAUAUAACACAAAUAAAAAUAUUUAAGGUCAAAGUUAAAGAAAAAAUACUUAAAAAGUAAAAAAUGGACUAUCAAUUUGGGACGGAGAGAGUAUAUUAUAAGCAACCAUAAACAGAAAAAUGACAAAUUUGAUAUAGUUUGGUACAUGUAAGAAGCCGAGUAGCUUACUAGGAAAGGAAGAGACAAAGGUGGAUGGGUGAAUUACAAAAUGAUGUAAUUUACAACCAUUCUUCAAAAAAGAUGCAUAUAAACAUAUAACACAGGGACAAAAUGAUGUAAUUGACUUCAAAACACCACCCUUCAACCUUAACCCUCCAUUACAGCCAUAGUUUCUCUACUCUUAUCUCCACUAUACACAACUUAUACCAUCAGAAAACCACCAUUUACACUUAUAGCCUAAGUAUUGACCAAAUCCUAAACCUUUGCAUGAUCUGGUUGUGUUCAUGGAUAAUUCAAUUCCAAGCUCUUGCUCAUGUUGUGAUUUUCAGAAAAUCUCUCAAUGAAAGUGCAAAAUACAUCCAACAGCACUUGAGUCUGCAUAUCAAAUCAGACAUAAUAUACAUUCAUGUCACUUUUUCCUCUAGACUUUAGAUGAAGUUGCAUAAUAUGAAAUAAAAAGGAAAGUUGAAAAAAUCUCGUCUCAAUAUGCUGUUCUUCCAAUAUUCCCAAGUGUUUGCCCACUACCUGUGAAAAAAUUUACAAUCUUUAAUCUAACAUCCUAUUUACAGAUAAAUUAAUCUUGUUGUAAAUGGUAUGGUCUUUUAACAAGCUAUUUACAUAUGAAAGAAAAUGCAAACCUUAAGUUCAUGAAGAUCAAAUUUGUCAGCAACAAAAUACAUCUCCAUCUUCAUUGAUCAUCAAUUUUGUCAUCUCAAUCCUUCACCCAGCCGAUUGCAAAAAUGAACAAGAAUCAAACGAGAUAAAGAAAAUGAGACCGAAGUUGAAUGCAUACCUGGAAUCAAGAGUUGGAGAAGAAAGCCCCCACUUGCAAAAAUUAAAGGAAAAAAGAAUUAACUUAACAUCAGAGGGAGAUUGGGAGUUCAUGGCUUUGUGAUUGAAACCAAAGACUGAAGAAAAAACCCAUCAUAUGAGGAAGACGACACAUUGGCACAGGAAGGCAUUAGCGGAGGUGGAUGGAGGAGAUGUCAAAGGAAGGAGGCUGCAGGCUAGAAGGGUCGAUGGAGGAAGAGAGCGUUUGUGAUGUCGUUCACGAUGGGGGCGUUCAAGGGCAAACUAAGAGAUUUUCAGUCAGUCCAUUUUUUACUUAAGACCGAGUCAGACAAAUUUCUAUGACCGAAUCAGAGGAUUGGAUUGGGUCAGACGUGUUUAGCCUUUUAUCAAACCGGCUGCCUGGACUGAGUCAGCCAAAACUACUGACUGGACCCAGUCAGAUGCAUAUCAAACAUGCAUAUCAAACAGGCCCCAAGUCGGUUUAGUUGGUUUUCGAAUUACUCGGCGUGGUUUUUAAAAUAUUUAAAUAAUUAUAACCAAACAAAAUAAUUUUAUUAAAUUGGUUUUAGUUUUUUAAAUAUCUAAACUUUAUAAGUUUUAACCACAAAAAUAAACACAAACUACAUGGGAAUUUAAAAAAGUAGAUGCAUGAAAGGUAAACAAAACUUAAGUAAAAAAAACAAUCGGUAAAACUAGUAGUAAAACUAAUAAUGUUUUUUUUCUUUAAAAAAGUUAUAAUAUUUGGAACUAGUUUACAAAAUAGUCUCAAAUUAAUAUUUUUUUUAUAAAAAAAUCGGUAAAAAGUUGCAUUAUGACUAUUUUCUUCUGGUUACAGCCCAAUAACAAAUUAAUUUGAGAUUAUUUUGUAAACUGACCUAAAAUAUUAGGAUUUUUCUACAAAAGACAUUAAUAAUAAUAAUAAUAGAUUGUAAAGAAAAAAAGACAAAAAAAAAAAGUUAAAUCCACUUUUUAUGUGAUUAAUGUUAAGGAACAAGCCAAAAUCAUUGUUUUGGACCUGAAGCAAAAAGCAAAAAAUAAAAUGGGAGGUGGAGGGAGAGGAAAACACAUGUUUUUUUUCAUGGUUAUGUGAACAACAGAAACCGAAAAAAUUACAUCCAUGGGAUUAUGACAAACGGAGUCUGGAUUACCGAUCCAUCUGAGAUUAAGCAGGAGGCUGCUAAAUUCUUUGAAAAGAAAUAUAAAGAAUGUUGGCAAUACAGACCUUUGUUUCGGAGCUCUGACUUCCGUAAGCUAUCCGAAAUAGAUACUCAGUUCUAAGAAGAUGAAUUUUUCCAUUGGUGAAAUAAAAAAUGUUGUGUGGUCGUGUGGCAGCGACAAGUCUCCGGGGCCUGACGGUUUCACUUUUAAAUUUCUCAAAAAAUAUCGGGAAUUGCUCAAAGAAGAUAUAAUGGGGUUGGUUAAAUACUUUGAAACGGGUGGUAAAUCACUAGAGGCUCUAAUUCUUCGUUUAUAUCCCUAGCUGCAAAGACUAAAGAUCCAAUUCACUUUGGGGAUUAUAGACCGAUAAGCCUGAUUGGGUCUACAUACAAGAUCAUUGCAAAACUACUAGCCCUUCGAUUAAAGAAUGUCAUUGGCAGUGUAAUUGACGAGGUUCAAUCCGCGUAUGUUGUGGGAAAAAAUGUUCUUGAGGGCCCUUUGGUGAUUAAUGAGUUUUGCUCUUGGGAAAAAUCAAAAGGAAGGAAGAUGCUCCUUUUUAAAGAGGACUUUAACAAAGCUUUUGACUCUGUAAAUUGGGUUUAUCUGGACUCAAUUAUGGAGCAAAUGGGCUUUGGAAGUAAAUAGAGAUAUUAAAUUAGUAAUUGUUUGGAAUUGGGUAGAGCGCCGAUGAUUAUUAAUGGAAGCCCAACAAAUAAAUUCUCUAUGGAGAAAGGAGUGAGACAAGGCGACCCGCUCUCUCCCUUUUUAUUCAUCAUUGCAAUGGAAGUGUUGAAUAUGGCGAUGAAGACAACGGUUGAAAAAGGAGUUUUUGACGGAAUAAAAUUCCCAAACUCUAACAUUUGUUUGUCUCAUCUAUUCUAUGCAAAUGAUGCUUUAUUCAUUGGAGAAUGGACGAGACGUAACAUCGCUAACUUAGCGAGGAUUUUGAGAUGUUUUUAUGCUGCGUCAAGGUUGAAAGUUAACUUUAGUCAAUCUAAAGUAUUUGGUGUUGGAGCAUCUCCUAGUGAAGUAUCUAACUGGGCUCCUCCUUUGAGUUGUGAAUCAUCAUCCCUCCCAUUCACUUACUUAGGCAUUCCUGUGGGUGAAAACAUGACUUGAAGAACGCAUGGUGGCCGAUUAUUGAAAAGUUUAAUGCCAAACUCUCAUUGUGGAAAGCGAAAACAUUUAGCUCCGGAGGUAGAUUAACAUUAGCAAAGGUGGUACUUGGUAAUAUUCCUACCUUCUUUAUGUCCAUCUUUGCCGUCCCAAACGGUGUCAUCGAGACCGUAGAGAAAAUCAGAAGAAGAUUUAUACGGUGUAAUAAAUUGGAGAAGAAAAGUAUCAAUUGGGUUGCUUGGGAAACACUAAUUGCCCCAAAAAGAUGGGUGGCACAGGGCUUGGAUCUAUCAAGAGUCUGAACAUUUCCCUAUUAGCUAAGUGGAGGUGGCGAUUGAAAAAUGAAAAAUCUACACUUUGGGCAAAAGUUAUAAGAUGUAUUCAUGGAUUGGAUGAAAGAUAGUUGUCUAUUUUUUCCAACAGAUCUAGAACGGGUGUUUGGAAGAAUAUAACCAAAAUCAUGCCUUGGUUAAAGAAUCUUAACAUCGAUCCCAAUGGAAUUGUGCAUUGGAAAUCAACGGAAAGUAGUUGGGUCUCCGACUUCGUGAUCGACAAUCAGUUCUCUGUGAGAUUGUUACGAGAACGGAUUGAAAGUGCAAGUCAUGUGGUCUGUGAUGGACCGUUCGAUUUGUGUAAAGUGGUACCAACUAAGAUCUUAUGUUUUAUCUGGAGAGCGAAGUUCGGAAGAAUCCAAUCACCAGUUUCGUUAAAAUCAAGAGGUGUCCCAGUUCUAUCGACGGUGUGUGUUUCAUGCAACUCGGACGAGGAGACAUGUGAUCACAUCCUUCUAUUAUGCCCAGUGGCAAAAGUCGUCAUGAAUUUGAUUUUAUCUUGGUGUGAAAUCUCAUAUGAUGGAUUCAAAUCGGUGAAGGAUAUGUUACCUUUCAUAUCUCGGUGGUCUAAGUGCAAAAAGAAAAAAAGUAUGCUAUAUGAGAGCUUGUGUAGAUGAUUGUGGUGUGUAUGGAAGGAAAAAAAUAAAAGGGUUUUCAAAAACAUUCCCUUUAUACCGGUGAAUAUAAUGAAGAAGAUAAAAUCAACAACUUUCAUUUGGUGCAAGCAUAGAGGUUCUUUUCGAAACAUGGAUUAGAGAGUUUGGAAUCUUGGUCAUUUUCUUUGUUUGUAAUUUUCUUGUUUGUUUUGAUUUUUCUUUUUCUUUAUUUUUUGUACUUUUCUCCUUGCAUCGUCUUGAUGUGAGAUGUUUUUAAUAUAUUUGUCGUUUAAAAAAAAAGUUUAAUAGUAAACCUUUAUACUAAUCUAAUAUAUUAGUUUAAUAGUAAGACUAACUUGUUUGUUAGAAGAGGUUAUAGGUCUUUUCUCAAGUUAUUUACUUUCAUUAUCUUUUAAUUAAAUUGGUGUUUUUUAUAGAAAAAAAAAAUGUGAACGUGACAUGGUGCAUAAACAUUCAUCAAAUGACCAUAAAAGAGCUAAAAUCAAAAAUUAUAUCAGUCUUGGGGUUUUGAUUGAAAUUCUUUUUGUUUUCAGGGAUUUUAGAAUAAGUUUCUAAAAUAAUAAAUAUUUUAUUAAAUUUUUAAAGGAAAAAUCAAUUACGUUCCUUUAAUUCAUUAAUUAGGAGUUAUAGCCAUUAUGUUAAUCAUUUAUAAAAAAACAUAAAACUAUAAGUUAGACCCUGUUUGAUACUCGUCGUCUGAUUGAGUCAAAUCAGACAUUUUUGGCUGAUUCGGUCAGCUAUAGCUGUUUGAUAACCCUUCUGACUGAGAAAUUGAGGUCUGGCCCGGUAAGAGAGAAGGAAUCGGCUUACUCAGAAAGGAAGACAUCUAAUUUCACUUGUGCCCUUGCGUGUGUAUCCCUGUAAGAAUCGAUCCAACACCCCUUUUGCAUCUCAUUCGUAAUAGGCUCACAUAAUCGAUCAUUCAACACCCCCUUUGCUUUCUUAAAAUCAAUCACAGAAUCGAUGGACUGCCCCUUUUGCAGGUAUGUUUCCCCUUCUCUUUUGCGUUUAUAUCUCCAACAGUAAUAAGAAAUUAAUCAUCUAAAAUCACUUCCAUUCAUCUUCUCGCAAUCAAUCAACCAUCUGAAAUCAGAUCAGAAUCCAUAUGCUCCUAUGUUCUCAUUUUUCUUUUGUAUAUGCUGGUUGAGUAAGGAAGAAAGAAAAAAAGACAUUGAUUUUCUCUUGGGGUAAUUUCCUCUCUCUAUGCUGCUUCUAUCCUAAUCUCUCUAAUUUUGCUGCAGGAGUGGUGCUAUGUACAUUUAAAACACUCAAUGGAUACACUUGGAUUUUUUUUACUACAAUAGAAAGGUGUGCUAUACUCAAGACUAGAUGCUCCCUUUGUUAUUAUUAAGCCCUUGAGAUAUAUCAUUAUUUGUAAAUGGCAAGGAUGUGUUGUUGGUAGUUUAAAGUGGCUAUAAUUGAUGUUUCUUUCACAAGGAUGCUGGUAAUUCUCUUGCUUUGGACAAUUUUGCCCUUACCCAAGUUUUAUCCAGAAAGGCCUUUUGCUCCCAUGUUUAGUAUAGAGUUUGGUUAUAUUAGUUUGAUGUGGUCAUGAUGUUGAAUCUGGGUUUUAUUUGUCUGUUUGUUUUUUUAUACUCCUUUGAGUUAUUGCUCAAUGAAACCAAUCCACCAAAUAGAAUAUGUAUGUGUUUUGAUUUGGUCACAUAAUGAAUCAUAUGAUAAAAUUUUGUUUAUUUUAGCUAUUUUUUUUAGUUUACAUAUCAGUUACAGUUAAAAAUUUUGAAUGAUGGUAUUUGUUCCUUAAUUGUAAGCUAAACACUCAAAACCAACAAGCUUAAAUAUUCGAUUGUCAUAAUAAGUUGGAUUAGGUUUAUGCUUCAGUUUUCACUUCCAUAAGUUCUACUUCUGAUACAGAAAACAAUCUUCUAAUUCUACAUUGUAAACUUUCACAUUUCUUGGUUAAUUGGCGGUCAACUGAUAAUGCUUCAUUUUUCACUUCCAAGGAUGGCAUCAAAGCUUUGGAAUCAGCCAUUCCAUCUUUUGGUGAUUCCGUUUGUAAGGGUGUAAUUUCUUGAUUCUUAUCAACAUGGUUUAAAGGGCAUUUCAGCUAUGAGGAUUAGGAGGACAUUUACGUCUUUUUCAUAGACGAGAGAUCGAGAGAUCAAAAAUUGCAAUUUUGUUCCGGCCCCAGUCCCAGGCAGUACACGUGGUUCUAUCAUGUCCUGUCUUUGCAUAACAAACAAGGCCUUAAAGCAUUAGUAGACAAAAAGAUUUGUUAGUAAGUUCAUAAUCUUUCUUUAAAUGAAUAGAUUGAUUAGAUAUUUUUUAUUAUGCUGGAAGUUUUAUUAUUAUUAUUAUUAUUAUUAUUAUUAUUAUUAUAAAGAGUACAAGAGUAAAAUGGUCGCAUCAGUCAGAUGUACAAUCAAACAAUAUGACUUCUUUUUCAGUCAAAAUUUAUUACUCAGACAGGUAUUUUCCACUCAGUACUUUCUCAGUCAACAACUAUCAAACGGCUCCUUAAUCUCUUGAAAACUAAACACCACUAAUGCAUUGUUUUACCAAUGUUUUAAAAACCAGUUUUUUAGUUGAACCGGUAUGGUGACCGGUUCUCCGUUCAACCGGUUCAACCGUCAGGUAAACCGGUUUCUAUAAUUUUUUUUUUUAUUUUCCUAUACAUAUAUACAUAUAAAAAUGAUGAUUUGACGUUUACAAGUUCAAACAUUAAAAAUAUACAUAAAAUUAAGUUGUAAAUCAAUCCAAAUACAUUAAAAUAACACAUAACCAGAAGUUUUAGUGUUUUACAUCAAUUCAUAUACGUCGAAAAGAAAAUAAAGUAUAAUACCGAAAUAAAGUAUAGUUUUAAAUGAAUAGAGAACACAUCAAAAAAUGUUAUAACAUAUACCAUAUGUUUUUAUUUAGAGCAAACAAAAUAGAUUUUAAAAAAAUCACCAAAGUUUAUUAAGCAAAUGGUUUUUUUCCAGAUGUUUUUAUUCGGUUAUUUUGAUCGAUUCAAUCGGAUUUUUCUAAAACCGGCCGGUUCAAUCCGGUUCAGAAAUCGACGUAAAACCGAUAAUAAUUGAACCGCUCUCUCCCCGAUUCCCGGUCUAACCGGUUCGACCGGCCGGGUUAUAACCGGUUUUUAAAACAUUGUGUUUUACAGAAAUUCGUGGCCAAACUGUGAAACUCGUAAAUAAGAUAUGUAUUGACAAAUAUACCCUCCAGCCCUACGCAAGCCACACUUUUCUUUCUAAAUAUCCGAAGGACAUAAAUGGGAAUCGCUAUGACUAUAAAUACCAGCUGUCGAACGCAGACACACCAGAAUUGGGGAUCUGAAGAUGAUGCUCGGAAAAACAAAGGAGGCUCCGGCGAGAGAGACGGGAGGUUUUCAAAGGGUGGUUGCCCCUCUCUUGCCAACUCAUAAUCGGAUAUGAUCCGAUCAUGUUGAGCCGGUGAAUUUGUCCCCAUUUUCGUCAAAAAUCAACAGCCCUUGAAACAAAUGAAAAAGGAAAUAUAUAUACUACUCUGUCUCUCUGUAUCUAUAUAUCUGUGUAUAUGUGUUUGUGUGUGUGUGUUUAUCUGCAAUUACAAUGAUAUUUGAUGAUGGCGAUGAUAUUUGAUUUCUGUAUGGAUUGUUAUCCGAGCAUCAUGGAUCGAACACAGGGUGAAAUUCGGCCCGUAUCUUGGCGGGGCAACCCGGAUGGUAUGUUAAGAGGAGGAAGUGUUUUUUGGUCUUCUUUCUCUUCCCGUGCAAUCGGUGUUGCAGCCAUGGCGGUGUCCUACCCCUGUGUUUGACUUUAAAUUACAGAUCUGAGCCUCAUUGUAUUCGCUUGAAGUUUCAAAUACUUUAAACUGUUGAUUUGUAUUAAUUUGUUGUUUUCCAACUGUUUUUCAUCUAAUAUUAUUUUGGGGCAUGAUAUGUUCAUGCCACUAAAAUUUAAUAAAAGAAAUAAUUUGGGUAUAGUGUGAUUAAAAAAUAUAUGAACUUUUGCUUUUGGUUAUUUUAGACUGGGUCUCUAGUUGGUAUCGAAAUAAUGAAAUUGUCCGGUAUUUUUUUUCUGCCGAAGGACAACAACUACAAUUUGAAUGUUGGAGGAGGAUUUCAAAGGAAUUGACCGUUUGAAAACGGUUACUUCUUCAAAUAUAUAAAAAGAAUUAUAUAUUAAUUUUACAUAUAAAUACAUACAUAUAUCUCAUUUAUUUUACCUAUACACAUUUUCUAUUAUGUCACAAGCCGUAUCAUUGUCUUUUCUUGCCAAGCCGGGACCAAAACUCUGGGUCUUACAGACAAGUGUCAGGAGCCACCUCCUGGUCUUCUAUACAAGCAUCACAAAGACAACUAGCAUAUUCUACAUCUACUUAUCUAUUUAACUACUAGAGUCCAAACUCUGGUCUCGCAUAUAGAUCUACCAGGAGCGACCUCCUAGUCUUUCAUACAAAUGUCAAGGGUCAACCCUCAGUUUUCCUACAAUACAUAAACCAAAUGGGCCGACAUUGGUGCCUUCGACCCAUAGUGCAGUGAGGAGGCUUACCUCGACAGUUGAACCCAUGAAUAAAUCUCUGACUGCAGAUCAGCUAAAAUCCUCGUGCUAGCAAACAUGAAUAACAUUCAAUUAACAUCUAGGUUCCAAUUCAAAUCCAACAAUCCAUAUAUGGGGUAAAAAGACCAUUUUACCCCUUACUUAGUUUGGUCCAAGACUAAGGCACAAACUCCCAAACAAUAAGGCCCACAAACCAAAUAAUCAUCCAAAACCCACUUAUGACCCAAUUUUCCAAAUUAGGCCCAACCCUUACAUGAGACUCACACUAAAACCCAUUAACUUUUCCCUAUUCCAAAACACUUGAUCUCAGAUGGCCCAAUAAUGCCCCAAGCAACCAAGCCCAAAAGAUAGCCUAAACCCGAAAUGACACCACAAGACCCAAUAAGGACCAAAUAUCCAAAUUGGUCCCAAGACCAUCAUGGGCCUGACCCGAGAAGGCCCAAUAUCUAAAAGGCUCAAAAUAACUAGUGGUUAACGUCGGUCAAACUUCUGGUCAACGAUCAAUGGACAACAAGUCAACAAAACAAGAAAAGUCCAACAGGUCGAGUACGCCGCGCGUACUCAGCUGGUACGCACAUCAUACAUCCUUUGGGGCCAAUACGCGCAACGUACCAGAUGGCUACCCCCAACAUACUCCCCUGAAUCCCAUUCUUCUCCAUUAAGCACUUAACCACUUAAGUCCUUGCUCCAAACUCUCAUAUUUGAUUCCUAUGGAUGACUUAUUAUGUAAAGUUGGCAACUUUACUUGCAUGCAUGGAUUAAUGGGCCUCUAGAGCUUAAAAUAGCUUAAUGAAUGGUCUUAACACAUGCAUGUGUCCAAAUAAACCAUAAAGAUCACAUUUUUAUGCUUUUGGGACACCUAAAACGCCCAGAUCUACAAGAUCAAGCCUCUUAAACAACCUUAGCUCACAAGGGCCACCAAAAGAGGCUAAAAUGACCAUAAACAACCGAAAAGAAGAUCCAACCAAAAGAGAUGACAAUAUCAAAGCUUUUUACCUUUAAUAGAUUGCAAAAGAUGAGAAACUUCUGGAUCUACAAGCUCCCUUCCAGGUAAUGAUUCUUUAACAAGAUCCAAACUCUUCAAAGUGCACAAGAAUACUCCAAAAAUCCUCACAAUGGCUUAAAAGCUCCAAUAUAAUGGCUAAGGGUCGACUAUUAGGGUUUAGGAGGCUUAGAGGCUGAUAAAAGACAUUGCUCAUGAAGGAAAUGAGGUUUAAAUAGGGCCAAGGACCAAAAAUUAGGGUUUCAUGGUUGAAUGGAGUACGCCCCGCAUACCCCUUAGUACACUCAACAUACUCCUCGACCACCCGCGACCAACUUACUCAGUACGCCCCGCAUACACAUCUAGUAUGCUCCGCGUACCAUAUGGCCUUCCAAAACUCUAAAACUACAUUCGACCUUUACUCCUUCGUCAUACACCUGUUUCCAACGAACUUUAUAUCUACGGAAAGGUGACGAGAAGCCCUACACUUCUAUCAGCUCACCCUUGCCUUAAAACUUCUUGAACAAGAAUGCAAAAUCCAUAAAGGCCAAAACUAACAAAUUACGAUUAUACCCUUGGGCUCCGAAAGACCAUCGAACACUCAGAUCACUUAAACUGUAACACCCACAUCCAAAAAAAUCCUUUCUUCCCCAAGGCCCUGAGCCUUACGAUAACCGAAGAUCGGGCUACAUCCCCGAAUAAUGAGGCAAUUCGAAAUCGAGUGUUACAUUUGAACUUAAGAUUUGUACAAUAUGCAAAAAACGAUCUAAACUAGAAACACAAAACGAUGUAGGAAGUUGAUGAAAAGGAAAAAGUAAACUAAAUUAAAUCAUAUGAAACUGCAAAACAAGAGGUUGAAAUUGUGUAGAAGUCGGAGCAAUGUAUCAUAAAUGAAUAAAGCAAACAACCUUAUUCCUCAUGUUUCUUUCUCUCCUUUGUAUCUAUUUCAUAUUUGCAUAACGAGAAGAAUAAAUUAAGGUGAUUUAACACAUUAUAUGUUAGAAAUUGGGUGUAACACCGUGAAAAUUUACAAUAAAUUUAAACUUUUCAAAAUCAAUCCAUAUUCAUAGAAUCAUUACAAAAAGGUUUUCAUUUCAUUUAUUAUCAGAGUAUCCCAGAACAUCAACAUAAAAUUUGAGGAGCGGUACGAUCACGCCUUUGCCUUGCCACAAUCUCCUGAGUUACCUGAAACAUUACACUGAAACUGUAAGCUCGAAAGCUUAGUGAAUUACCCCCAAAAUACCACAUGCAACACAUACGCCUUUCCAGGCCAUAACUCUAUGGGAUCUUCCGAUCCGAAUGUCUCAGGGGAUUUCCAUCCCAUAUCUCUGUUGACCUUCCGGUCCAUAUCAUAUUAACCUUCCGAUCCUUAUCAUACACGACAUACAUAGCACAUACAUAUCAUAUAACCGCAUAUAACAUGAUGACCUUCCGAUCCAUAACAUACUGCUCAUAACGUAACUUAACACAUACAACUCUCAUAACAUCUAUCAACAUAUAUCUCAUACCCUUAUAGCACAUAAGACCUUCCGAUACAUAUCAUAUAAUUGCAUAUAACAUGAUGACCUUCCGGUCCAUAUAUACCAUCCUAACUACCAGGAUGCAAACAUAGCAAAGCAAUAACAUAACAACAAUACCCGGAUUUCCAUCCGAUAGAGGGCUGACCUUGGUGCCGUAGACCCUGUCAGUAUAGUGAGGAUAACUCACCUGCAAUUGCCGACUUGAAGGAUUAAGACCACGCUGCUCCGACCACCAGUACGAACUCCACCACUGAUCAUUACCAAAUAACCAAACCAAUAAUUACCAAAAUACCCCUGAAAGUCAAGCUGGUCAACCCUUGGUCAAAGUCAAAGUCCUCAGUCAAAGUCAACCUUCCUGACUGACUCUACUCACCGAGUCAACCCGCUGACUCGUCGAGUUCCUAUGCUCUGAAAACUCCUAUGCCUCGACUCUACUCGCUGAGUCACCUCGAGACUCGCCGAGUCCAAGAACAGACUCACCGAGUCCAAGAACAGACUCGCCGAGUGCAAGGCAAUCUUCAACAGACUCGCCGAGUUGUUCUUCCAACUCGUCGAGUUCCUACCUAUCUUCAUCCAACUCGCCGAGUACCUCUAGUUCUUAAUCCAUACAGUGGCUUUCUAAGCCAUGCAGGGACUCCCAACCAUAGAUCUACUCUCCUACAACCCAUCCAUCACAUAAAAUGGCAAACUUUACGUGAAUCCAAAGAGAUCUGAGCAUAAAACACUCUUGGGCUAGGGUUUGGGACAAGAAGGCUUCACUAACAACUCAAGGACAGGGGUUUUAUGCACUUCUGAAUCAUCUCAAUCCCAGAUCUGAGGUAGUAACCUCAGAUCCAUCCUACAAACCCAACAUAACACUAGAUAUGCUCCCAAAACUUCCACAAAUGAUAGAUCUAGAUGCACAAAAGCUCAAGCAAAAAAUUAUUACCUCAAAAGAAAGCUCCAACUAAAGAAUAAUCUCAAUCUCUGCAAAGCCCUUUUCUCCAAUCUUCUAAAUCUUCAAAAUCUCUUCACCAAUCACUUCUCAAAGCUCCAAUUUGCUCUCCAAUGCUCUCACCAACGGAUCUAGGGUUUUCUGGACUUCAAAGGGGGCUAAGGGGACUGAAGGGAGAACAUUAAGUCCUUUAAAUAGGGUGCAAUCCCAAAGAUUAGGGUUUUUAUCUCUUCAACACUAACUCGCCGAGUCCAGUCGUCGACUCGCCGAGUUGGCCACUUAACACGUGACCAGAAUCGCGACUCAACUCGCCGAGUCGACCAUCCUUAUUUACACUUUGAACACUAAACUUGCACUUCUGAACUUGGGAUGUUACAUUGGGAUUAUACGUAAUAAAGGUAGUGUACAUAAUCAAAAUUAGACGAACAAUUGAAAUUGAGUAUGAGGUAGAGAGAGAAAGAACCUGAAUGAAUUUAAGGGAGCAAAUCAAUCGGUUUAGGGUAUAUUUAUANCCCAAAAAAAAAAAAUAAUAAUAACAAUAACAAUAAUAAUAAUAAUAAUAAUAAAAUCCUUUAUAGGUGGAAACUUUUAGAAAACGCACCUAUAAAAAACCAAUUAGAAACAACAUAACCAAAAUUUUUGUACAAAAUUAAAAUUAGGGGUUGUAUCGAGAAUUGAAAAUGAAAAAAAACUACCAGAAUCAAAAUUAAGGGUUGUAUCGAUAAUUGAAAAUUAGGGGUUGUACAUGAUACACAAUCACUAUCGAGCCAACAUGAGAUUCCCCCUUUGUCAAUGUUUGGAAUCAGGUUAAAAUCAAUAUAAAAUUACAAUAGAAAAGAUAAGAGUCAAACCCAUACUCUGAUUAAACCCCCGGUGUCCAUCGUUGAUCCUAAGACUAGGUUGGAAACAUAGAUAGAGAUAUAUAAAAUAGAGAAAAAGGCAUGAUAGAAUGGAUUAUACUAGUGGGAAGAAGGUGGUAGGUUUUGCCUUCUAGGUGUGGUGAUGAACGUUGUGACUAUUAGCAUAUGGUGGUGGAUGGUUGUGGAGGCAUUAGCUGGUGGUGGUGGAUUUUUCAUGUGAUUCUGUUUGGUUUGUGACACCGCCAGUGAGCGGUGGCAGUUCCAGGUUUUCAGAGGUGCGAUGGGUUAUUGGAAAGGGUGGGCAUGUUAUAUAGUCGUGGUGGGUGAUCAUACUUCAUCGUUACCGAAGAUGGUGGUGGGGUUGUUAUUCUUCAUCUUUGCUCGAGAUAGUGGUGGCUGGUGGGGGGUCUUCAUCGUUGUUAGAGACAACGUACGGUCACAAGUGAGAAAGAAAUAUUGUUGUGUGGUGGGUGUUCUAAGUUUUAACAAGAAAGUUGUGGAUUAACCGUGAACUCAAAUGGAAAAAGUCAGGCAAGCAAAGAGAAAAAGUCUAAGUCAAGGAGAAAAAAUAGAUAAUAAAAGAAACAGAUAAGAUGAUAUCUUAUAUUUAAAAUAUAAUAUUAUUUUGUUAAUAAUUGGUUGUACUUUAAGCAUAAAGACUUGAAUGUCUUAAAAUAUAUUAUUAUUAUAUUAAAUUUAUUUAUAAAAAUAAUAAGAUUUCUUUUAUAAGAUAGUAUAAAUCUAACCCGGAAAUUCGGAUGUUACAGAAUUGUUAGCAACCAAAGACACGUCUACACUAGUUCCACCAUCUACUUUAUGGUGAAUAGUAUGACCCAUUCCUAUCCUUCUCAUCCAUAAGAUCCUCUGAUUUUCAAAUCAAUGCCAUAUUAAUGACCAUAUUAGUCAUUGAUCAAACAUUUUUUUCAUCUAGUCAACCAUACCAAUAUGUAUAACAAUAUGUACAAAUACUAAAGCUAGAUUGUACAACACAUGAUGCAGUAAUAUGAUCAUGGAACGGGAUACGUAUCUUACACAUGAUGAAAAACCUUCAUUUGGGUAAUUACACAAUCUAGGGACCAUAAAAUGUACCAAAACUUUGUUUUAGUGAGUGUUUAUGCAACAAAUCAAACAUGUGGAGGAAAAUUAUAACUUUUAACAUACAAUAAGGAGUAUUUAUGUUCUCAAGGAGCCAUAGGUUAGGAGAUAUGAAAGAUUAUACUUUCUUAUAAUGGAAAUUCAAAAUGGUUGUUUCAAAAUAUAAAAAAGAUACCCAAAAUUUUGAUUCCUUCCCUACCUUAAACAAAAUGGAGACAUGAAAUAUUAUACAUUGUUAUAAUUAUAAUGUUUUAUACGAAAUGGGGACAUUAAAUGUUUAGAUUUAUACUGACGACUGAACUUCUUGAUGAUAUUGACUAUGGAAUAACAUAGAUGUAUCAUAGUGAUAUUAGUAUUAAUAUAGAUAUUUUGGAGUGAAAUGCGGUUAUUAUUGAUUAUAUUGUAUUUGUAUCAAUAUUACAUAACAAUGGAAUGAUAAGUAAUCUGAGUGCUUAAUCAAUUUUCAAAUAGAUUAAGGUGUCUAAGUGGAACAAUUAAAAGAUGGUUACUAUUUGGAUUAUUUAUCCCCACUUACAACCAUGAUUAAUUAAUUUUCUUGGUUAUUUGAAAAAAAAUAUUUAUAUCAUAAUAAUGAAAUGCAAUCGAAACUUGAAUAAAAUACUAGAGGAACUUGAAACAACAUACAAAAAAUUGUUCCAUUUGGAUUGUGGAAUCGUGUUCAAACCUUGAUAUUACUCCGUUUUUAUGACCAUGAAAAUUUGCUUAAAUUGAUUCAUGGACAUGAGUCAUAACAUUAUAUAUUCAUAUCCUACCUAAUAAAUAAAAAUACUUAUGACACUUAAUAUAUAUUAUUUUUUAGAAUUUUUAAAAUUGUUAUUUUCCACUUGUUAAUUUUUGGGGAUUUCAAUUUUUUCUUAAAAUAAAUUUCCAAAAAGUUCUAACGGGUUAUAUAUAUAUAUAUNAUGGGUUAUAUAUAUGUAAGGUUAUCAUUUUAUUAAUUUGAUGAUGAAUUUUCAUAAAUGAUUCAAACGAUUUGAUUUCUUUCAUAAAUGAUUUAAAAGAUUACAUUUUGUUAUGGAAAAACAUUAUUUUAUAAAAUAUUUAAUGUUUAUAUAUUUAUAUUAAAUUUUUAUUUUUAAAAAAUCCGUAUGAUAUACAUGUCUCACACCUAGUUCACAACAAAGGAUUAAUGGGUAUGAGAAACUUUGUUCUGAAAACCAUCAUUACCAUAGUUUCAUUUCAAAAGAAAUGUGAUGUUAUUUUUAUGGUAUUUACGAGAUUCACUACCAUUAAUAACCUGACCUCCUUUUAAAAGUCUAUUUGCAAUGAUGUUUAGCGGAAUAAAAAGAAGGAAAGUAAACGGGGAGGCAUAAAAUGAACAUAUGAAUAAAUAAAAUUUGUGUUUUUGAAAAAAAUGAUAAGUAUAAAGAUACAAUUUCGGAAUAGUAACCUUUUAGGCCAUAUUUUUGUAGAGGAAAAUUUGGCACAUAGUUUUCAAAUCUCUCAAAAUUUAAUGUCUAGAAACAAGUACAAAAGCCAAAACUUGGAGGGAAAGGGAUAAGAUUAUUUUCAACAAAAAUCUCAUGGAUGAUAAACACUCUAGAAUGAUCGAUAUCAAAAUAUUCACUUUUACAGAUGGACGGUUACGAUUUCUCCAUGUCACACUUAUCAACACCCCCUCAGUUAUAAAAUCUGCAGAAUCUGUUCUCCAUUUUACUCAUCUUCUUCGUUAGCACUCACCGAUAGAGAAAAACCCCAAAAUCAUGUCUAAGAAAGCGAUGGAAGUUGUAAAAGGUUUAGAUCUACAAAGGUACAUGGGCAGAUGGUAUGAAAUAGCUUCAUUCCCAUCGAGGUUUCAGCCCAAAGAUGGGAUCAACACAAGGGCUACAUACACAUUGAAAGACGAUGGCACUGUUAAUGUUCUAAACGAGACUUGGAGUGGUGGCAAGAGAGGAUUCAUUGAAGGAACUGCUUAUAAAGCUGAUCCUAAAAGCGAUGAAGCGAAAUUGAAGGUGAAAUUCUACGUUCCACCAUUUUUGCCCAUCAUACCUGUUACAGGUGAUUACUGGGUGUUGUAUCUUGAUGAUGAUUAUCAGUAUGCUCUGAUAGGUCAGCCUUCCAGGAGUUAUCUCUGGGUACGUUUCCAUUUCCAUUUCCAAUUCCUGUUGUUUUUUUGUUCUAAUUUCAUUUAGUGGAGAUUCUGUUGAAAUUCAAUACCAUUUUCAGCCAUUUGGAUUUGGGAAUUUGAGAUUUGUAAUCUGAAAACUGUGGUUUGGGUAUGUGUAGAUACUAUGCAGGCAAACUCAUCUUGACGAUGAGAUAUACAACCAACUUGUUCAGAAGGCGACGGAAGAAGGGUAUGAUGUGAGCAAACUGAAGAAGACAACACAGACAGAACCACCGCCGGAAUCUGAAGAUGCACCGGCGGACACCAAAGGGAUUUGGUGGUUUAAAUCAUUAUUUGGCAAAUAGACCUUGAAAACAAGAACACUCUUAAUAAAUGAACGUAUAUUGAUGUUGAAUUCAGUUGAAGUGUGGAAGAAUGUAGUGGUUAUGUAGUUGUACAUAUUGCUUUACUUGUGUGUGGUACAACUUCUUUCUAGUUCAUAUGGGAAUGAUUAAUGAAAAUGUUAUUGGUGUUUGAAUGUUUGAUCGCAUUUUGGAGGUUGAAAUUAUGUUAAUGGGUAUUUGCAUUUUGGAGGUUGAAAUUACGUUUAUGGGUUUUUGCGGUGGGUCUGGUGGCAUGUGGGUGGGUUGCUUGUAUGGAAACGGGAUUGGGACUUGUCUAUGUGAAAAAGAUGACACAAGAAACCAAAUCAAUUAACUUUUAUCUUGAAUAGACGAGUGAACUGGUUUUCCUGGUUUUAUGAAGUUGUGUGCACGCUUAUUUAGGGGUGUUGAACGGGUAAUUUUUUCGGGUUUCGCGUAAUUCGGGUCGGGUAAUUCGGGUUUUUCAUGUUAGAAAAAUUACCCGUUACCUUACCCAAACUAAAUUCGGGUAAUUCGGGUUUGGGUAAUUCAGGUAUUAUCCGAAAUAUAUGAUUUUUUUUUUUGAAUUUCACCUAAAAAUAAAUUUAAUGAAAUAAAUAAGUCGUGCUUUAUUAGUCUUGUUUAUAUAAACAAACGAGACAUAAACGAAGUUACUUAAACUUUAAACAUUGAGAUUUUCUACUCAAUAAUACAUGAGAUAUCAAGUAAUUUUUUAACGACUUAAUCUAAUCUAAUAAGAUGUUAAAAAAACAAAUACCUAAAGAUCUUAAUUUAAAAGUUUAAAAUGUUUAAGAUAAAUGUAGUCAUAAGUUUUGCCAUGUUCUAAAGUUUCGUCAAGAUAAUGAGUUUGUUAAUUGUAAUAAAAACUAUAAUAAAAAAAACAGUUAAAUUUUAAAGAACGUGAUGAUAUAUAAAAAUUACUUUUAAUAUUGUUAGUGUCGUAUUGUCAUAAUAAAUAUAUUUAUGUUUUACAAUAAUGAUAGUUAGUUUAAGCGUGAUCAAAUACCUGUUAUAUAGUACAAGCUCUAAAAGAAAAAUUUUAAUAAUUUGGGUAAUUCGGGUAUACCCGAAACCCAAAAAGUAUACCCUUUACCCGACCCGAAAAAUUUCGGGUAGCCCGAUUACUCGGAAAAAUUUACCCGAUACCUGAUUUACCCGACCCGUAUUACCCGAUACCCGAAAAAAUCGGACGGGUAAUUCGAGUAUCGGGUAUUUUCGAUAGGGCUACGCUUAUUGACCCUAAUCCGUUGAACAGGUACGAUUAAGGCUGUAUCUUGCUUCGUAUAGAUCGAUCCAUCGAGAUUGUUUUUGGCUGGUAGGAUGUUAAAGUGGAACAUUGUUUUUGGCUUGUAGUUGCACAUGAAUGAAAUAGAUUAUCGACAAAAUUGCAAAAAUGUCUAUUUUUUUUGAGGGGUUUUUGUCCAACCAACGACUUUUUUGGAUUGAUAGUUUUUUGGUCUGAUUUGACUGUGAUUCUGGUCCUCGUAAAAUUGAAAAGAUUAAAAUGCACUUUUUAUAUAUUUUUAAUAUAUAUUUUCUAUUUAAUUUAAUGUUUUAUUAUUAAUAAACAUUGAACCCCACCCCUAUUCUAUCUUUAGGUUUGUGUUUGAUAAACACCAAGGACAUGUUCAUAGAUUCAAAAAAACUUAUGAACAUCUUCCAACACCACACUGCCGCCGCCAUCGUCUGCCACCUCCAUCUCCACUUAAACUUUUUCUAUCACUUUAACUACACAAAAAAUCAUCUCAGAAACAAAAGUCAUCCACAAUCAGGGUUUGUUCUUGAGUUCAUUCCUAUUUUAUGAACAAAAACACACAUGAAAUCAUAUGUGAUGAACAUACAUAUACAAAAAAUCAUACCUAAUGAACACAUACACACACAAAAUCAUUAACACACACAAAAUCAGAUCUGAUAAACACAUGUUUUUGUUAGUCAACAAUAUACCAUUUAACCCAUAAAUCUUGCAAUUUAAUGACAUAAUAACCAAUACACACUUGUAUAUCUUGAGAAUGGGACUUGGACUUGAACACUUAAGAACAGAAGAAAAACACAUAAAAAUAACUGAACUUCAAAUCCAUGACGAGAAGCCAAGAAACAACCAAAUGAAGGAAAACAAAGGUGAUAAGUGAUGAACUUGUCAGAUCAGAUACGUUGGUGUUUUUGUUUUUAGAUCCAUUGGAAACAACAUCCGUCGCCACCCUUUUCUUGCCCACACUCUCCAUCUCCGUCGUUAUCAGAAACCUUUCCCUCUCCAUCACCGAAUCUGAAAACCAUCAUAAGCUUUUCCUUUUCUGUCUCUACAUCUGAAGCCACGUCUGUCUAUGGAUCUAAAAACCCUUCUCGGAUCUGUUCAUCUCAAGCCCUCCACACUUUCAGUUUUUGUUCCUCCUUAUUUUCUUUAUUUUUUCUCAAACAACACAGACUCCAUAUUUUCAGAUUUGUUCUUAAGGAAGAAGACAAUCAGAGAGAGAGAGAGAGAGGACAAUGUUUAUUAAUAAUAAAACAUUAGAUAAAAUAGAAAAAAUAUAAAACAAGAAGGACAUUUUAGUCUUUUCAGUUUUUCGAGGGACCAAAACCACAGUCAAACUAGGCCAAAAGGACUAUCGAUCCAAAAAACUCAUGGUUUGGACUAAAACCCCCAAAAAAUGCAUACCACAGGGACCAUUUUUGCAAUUCUAUCUAGAUUAUUAUAUUUAUAUUUGUUAUUUUUUGCUCGAUCAAAAAAUUAGAUUUUUUAGAUUUUUAUUUUAUUUUGUACAGUGGAAUUUUAUAAAGGCAAAACUAGUAAGAUGCUAGAAGAUUACAUAAAAAAAUUCAGAUAUGUAGGAGAGCAACACCAAUCUAAAGAAUUACAAUUCAAUCUAUAAUUUUAACCAUUUGAAAUAGAUGAUUUGUAUAUCAUCCGUCGUCUUCAUCGGAAACCCACAAGCAUGCUUGAACACCAAAUCAUUACAUGUCUUCCAAAUCGACAAAAUAAAGUGUUUAUCAAAGACCAACAUAAUAUCCUAUCCUUUUUGCUCAUAUUCAAUUUAUCCAUACCAACCAUAAAAAAACAAUAAAAAAGAGAUAAUAAACACUUUCAGCAACGCCACUACAUAAGGGACAAAUGUUAGAUAUCAUAUGCGCCCCCAAACAAUAAGAUUUAAAGAAACACGAAUCCUAUAUAGGAAGAAUCCAAGCAAAACAAUUGACUUUAAUCAGUAUACAACUCAUCCAAUUGAACAUACAAGAAACACCAUUUGCCUUGACAUCCGUAAUUAACAAUCUUAAGGAUGGAACAAAUAUCAUAUGCACCCCCAAAUAAUAAGAUUUAAAGAAACACGAAUCCUAUCUAGAAAGAAUCCAAGCAAAACAAUUUACUUUAGUGGAUAUACAACUCAUCCAAUUAAACAUACAAGAAACACUAUUUUCCUUGACAUCCACAAUUAACAAUCUCAAGGAUUGAACAGAGAAAUUCCUUGAGGACAAAAUGUGCUUGAUUUGGAAACCAAAAGGACUAGCCGUGUAACGUUACCAACGUUAUCCUUAGAUUGCCACUAUUUGAAAAGGACGAGGAUCAAUCUUGAAAUCUUGUUUGUUAGACCAACCGGUAUGCUCAUAACGAAGGGUUUCGUGGUUGAUGUGACAACGACCACUAACCACGAACACCAUCCUGAUGCUUAGGGUUGUGGUGGACUGUUGUCCACACCUCGAAAGAGCACACCCAAUACAAUUGUUUCUCUCUCUUUUACUCUAUCUCUCUCUAACUUUCUUAAACUCUCUCUACAAUAAAACAUAUAUAUUUUUUAAUUUAAAAAAAUAAGAGGAAUAUAGUGGUGGGUAUCCCAUAAGUUUAGUGGUUGAAUGUGGUGAUGAGUUGACACCCGCCAUUAUAGUGGUUAGUGGUAAGUAUAAUGAAUGACCUUAGAUAAACAAAUGGUAAAGACGGUAUGGAUGCAAAUCCCAAUAACCUUUUAAUCACUUCAAUUUUAUAAUUCAUACUCAUAUUAGUAAAAUAAUUAAUAUUCUUUAAAAGUGCAUAUUGUAUGCACGUCAACAAUUGAUUUGGAGUGAAUCUACAUAUUUUCUUAAGGGUGAUUCUAACCUCAAUCCAAAACCUAAUCCUAUCAAAAACCCUAAAACUAAAAUUAAAUCUUACCUUCAUAACCAACACCAACAUUGGCAUCGACCACCGCCACAGCUGUUGCUGAAAUCAAAUGUUAAAAUUGAAAUGUGAAACAAUAUGAAAGAAAGGAGAAGGUGAGUUGAUUUGCUUUCAUCCUUUCUCAACUCAAAUCAAAUGGUGAAAUCAAAAUCUUAAAGAAAGUGAAAGUAGGGAGAAUAUGACAAUGAUGAACAAACAAACACAUAUAUACACACCUAAGGCCUUGUUCUCGAGUGUUUUAAUGAAAGGAGGAAAUGGAAGGAGAAUGGAAUGUAAGGAAAUGGAAAAUGAAUACAAAUAAUUAAGUGUGUGGGAAAUGAAUUUGAGUCUUUUUUUGUCUUUACCUCCUAAUCCGCCCAAAUAAGGCGAAUAAAAAAGACACAUUUUGUUUCCCUCCCCUUACAUUUCAAUCUCAUUCCAUUUCUUAAAAAAAAAAAACUCAAGAUUACAUUUUUCAUUUGAUUUACUUUCACUCCCUUCCAUUCCACUCCUUAAAUUAACUUAAGAUCAGGAUAUAAGUCUUUAUCCUGAUUCCCUGUCACAGACACAGAUACUACUGAAGAAACCAGCAGUAUCAAAUGGGAAGCUACCACUUUCUUAAUACUAAAUAUCCUUAAACUCAAAUCUUUCGGCGAACCACCUUAGCCGCUUUCUCUGGGUACGUUUUCAUUUCCUGUUGUUUUUUUGUUUCUAAUUUCAUUUAGCGGAGAUUCUUGAAUUUAUUUAAUACCAUUUUCAGUAAUUUGGAUUUGGGAAUUUGAGAUUUGUAAUCUUAGAAUUGUGGUCCGGGUAUGUGUAGAUACUAUGCAGGAAAACCAAUCUUGACGAUUAGAUAUAUGACAAGCUGUUGCAGAAAGCGAUGAAAGAAGGGUGUAUGAUGUGAUGAGCAAAUUGAGGAAUACAACACAGACAGAACCACCGUCGGAAUCUGAAGAUGCACCGCCGCCACCAAAGGGAUUUGGUGGUUUGAUUUGGUUGAAAUGUUGAAGAACAUAGCGUGGUUGUGUGUAGUUGUACAUAUUACCUAUCUAUGUGGUAUGAUUUAGUUCAUAUGGUAAUGAAGAUGGUGUUGGUUUUUUUGACUGUUUGAUUGUAAAUGUGAUGUAUUUGGACUGAAAAAUGAGAUUUUUCUGUUAGUAAUUUGGACCUCGAAAUUAUGGUUGUUCGACGGUGAUUUUGUUGGUGACAUGUGGGUGGAUUGCUUGCUUGUAUGGAAAUGGGACCUAUCCAUCUGAAAUCGAUGGAACACUACAAAGUAAAUCAAAUCGAUUUUCUUAUCUCUGAAAUUCAUAUAAUUAUGUGUCGUGGGUUGACUACUCAGAAUGUAUCAACCCGUACACGAAUCAUAUAAGUAUUUGUAUAACUUGUUGGGGGUCACAGGGUUGACGAGUUGGAAACAUCAACCAGGCACGAACCGUCAAACCUGUUUAAUUAUAUGAGUUCGCGGGUUUGUGGGUCAAAUUUGGGUUCGAGGGUCAGGUUCACGGGUUAGCAGGUUGGCGGGUUGACACAUGAGCCAAAAUAUUAUUCGCGUAAUAGUGAUGAUUGGUUUGAUUUAGAGCACACAUAGGCUAAUAAACAUAGUUGCAUAACUUAAAUCUAAUAUAUUAUACAGUGAACCACCUCCGGAUGAGCUGCUUUAAAACGAUAAUACUCUUAAAAAAAAACUAUACUGGUUGACACGUGAACCCAAAUACUAACCCAAAAACAACAUGUUUAUUUGAAGGGUUGAUAGGUUCGCAGGUUAAAAAUCUCAAUGAAACCUGUUUACUUUUAUAUCGGGUUCGUCAUAUCGCGAGUGGUGUCAAGAAUUGUCACCACAAAUAAUACCUUAUUGUUUUUACGAUAAAUAUUGAUAGAUAAUCAUAUGUUUAUGUCACAUAAAAGUAUGUCUAAGUAUUUUAUUUAUUUAAUCAUGAAAACUUUAAAUGCCAAAUUCAAUAAACGCCACUAUAAUUUAUUUCUUUGAUUUAAUCAUCAGAAGAUUUAUUUUUAUGAUUUAAUUACUUGAAAGAUUUUUUUUUCAUGGAACAAAAACCAUUGCGAUUUUGAUUGUUGUGCAUCAUUGUUAUCUCGAAAUAUACUAUAUGAAGGAGUUUUGGAAAUAGAACCAUAGAUCCAUAACUUGAUUAGAGAGUCCCGUUUGUGCCAUUCAGGAUCAUCAACAUAUUUAUGAACGGAAGUUCCAUCAAGAUGACACACCAAAACUCAUGCAUUUGGUUUCACUAAAUAACUUGUCAAAUAUUGUAGUAUAGUUGAUAAAGAUGAAGGGAUAGAGUAAAAAAGGCUUUGAUGUUAGUAAUGACACAUGGUUUCUCUGAGUUUGUAAUGGGAGGAGAGAAUAGGGGAGGAGGGAGGCAGCCAUUAGUGAGAUGAGGGAAUAAUAGAGAUAGGAUUAAAAGAUAUACAUUAAUAUAAUAUUUUUUUUGUUCAAGGGUUUCAGGUUUGAACUUUUUCUUAUAUCCUCUUAAGGAAUUGUGACAUCUAAAAUACAUAGUUGAAAAAUCUUUUUUGCUUUUCUUCCCACACCUCCUAUUUGUCCUAAGGCGUGGGAAGACAAAAACAACUUAUUUGCAUUUUUUUUGUUAUAAAUACUCUAAAAGUAGAGCAAAUUUGCCAACAAAAUUUUAUUCUUAAUUAAACGGUUCCAUGUUUUUUUAUUUAAAUGUUCAUCUAAAAACUCCUUUUUGUUUAUCUAAAAACUCCUUGCUAAUUUGAAUGACUUUUUGAGAAGUCAAUAAAUUAAAAAAAAAUGUUUAGAUAUCUAAUAAAGUAUCAAAUUGUGACUAUUUGAAAAGACUUAUAACAUAUUAAGAUAAAAAAAUAAAUAAAUAACAAUUUUAAACCAAAUAUCUUUUAAUUUCUUGACUUAUUGAUUUUUUCCACUAAAAAAAUUAAUCCAAACAUUUAUAAUUUUUUUUUCUCACAUUCAUAAAUCAAUAAGUCAUUUUUAUCAAAAAUACUUUUUAACAUCAAAAUAAAAUCUCAAACAUACUCUUCAUUAACAUUAAUUAAGAUUUAUCUUUUUAUUCAAAAACACAAGAAAUGAAGUAAAGAUGUAUUUUUACCCAGUAUCAAAUAUUUUAACAUCUUUACUUCUCACCUAAGAAUAUAUUCAUAUCCUCAAAUUAUAUAAUUUCCACUAUAGUAUUAAAUUUUCAAUGAUAAUUUCAUAAAAGAAGUUUAAUCUUCCAAUGACCCAAUCUAUAUAUAUGAAAACCCAACAAUUGGAAAAUAAAUCUUCAAGUUUUGACUAUUUUUGACAACCGUUGUCGACCAGAGAAUCUAGAGGGAGAAUGGAGAAUAUUAAAAAAAUAAAAUAAAAAACUUUUAUUAAUUCAAAAUAUUUUUGCAAUCUCAACAACUGUGAGGUUAUCAAUUCUCCACAUCAUCUUUUAUCUAUCCCCCAUCAAUUAUAUACUCCCCAGAAUCUUUCCUUCCAUUAUUCAUCACCUUCCUAUUCACAGUUCACACACAGAAACUCCAUGGCCAAGAAAGAGAUGGAAGUUGUAAAGGGCGUUGAUCUACAAAGAUACAUGGGCCGAUGGUACGAAAUUGCUUCAUUUCCAUCAAGAAAUCAGCCUAAAAACGGAACCGAUACUAGGGCUACAUACACACUGAAAGAAGAUGGCACUGUUCAUGUUCUAAACGAGACUUGGAGUGAUGGAAAGAGAGGAUUCAUUGAAGGCACUGCUUAUAAAGCUGAUCCCAAUAGCGAUGAAGCGAAAUUGAAGGUGAAAUUCUACCUUCCGCCAUUUUUGCCCAUCAUACCUGUUACGGGUGAUUACUGGGUGUUGUUUCUAGAUGAUGAUUAUCAGUAUGCCUUGAUUGGUCAGCCUUCGAAGAAGUCUCUCUGGGUAUGUUUCAAUCUCGCAUAGUUUGUGUUAAUUAGUUUGUGCAAUUGUAUUGAAAUUGAUUGGUAUAAUUGGGGUUUGUGUAGAUAUUGUGCAGAGAAAACCAUCUGGAUGAUGAGAUAUACGAGCAGCUGAUUGAGAAGGCGAAGGGAGAAGGGUAUGAUGUGAGCAAUCUGAAGAAGACGACACACACAGACCCACCGCCGGAGACUGAAGGCGCUCCGGCUGACACCAAGGGCGUAUGGUGGUUGAAAUCAAUAUUCGGGAAAUAAGAGACGGUCGAUAUCGUGGUUUACUGAAUUUUAAUGUUGGUUAUGUAUAUUUAGUUCAUGUAGUAAUGAAUAUGUUGUAUUCGUUUUUGUAUUUUUUCAUCAAAUCAUGUAUAAUUUUAAAAAUACAUAUCACAAAUCAUAUAUGGACAUGCAACACAAAGUCGUUAUUUUUUGCAUAUACCUCAUUAACUAUCAAAUCACUUGAUACUCACUUGGGAUAAAUCAAUUUUCAGUUUUUAUGUCUACAUAAUGCCUUGCAUUCUCUUGACUUUCUACAUACUAACCAUACUUGUCAUUAGCUUUUUUUCCCAAACAAAGUGAAUUCCAAGUUCAAUAUGCUUUUCGUAUGUUAAUUUUGAACACGACUACUGAAACAUGUAAUGCCAAUCACAUUAUCACAUUAAACAAGUGUCUCCAUCUGAACUGGUAUAUGAAACUCAAGUUAUAAAUUUCGAAUCCGCCAGGUUUUGGAAAUGAUGUUUGCUACUCUUUGGUAUUUGACUUUGGUGCUAGAACAUUAUAUAGUGGGUGCAUUUUUAAAAACCAUGAAACAUUAAAAUGAGAUUGGUUCCAUGAAAAACACAAUAUCCAGACGAGUACCGAUGCAACAUGUCCGAUUAGCAUCCAUGUAUGUAGAAAGUCAAGAGAAUGCAGAUUUGUAUUAAAUCUUGAGUGCCUCGAAUGUAUUGAAUGGUCCCUUUGAGAGGUGUCAUGUAAUCAUUAUGAGGAGUACACAUGUGAGGAUAAAUUUGAUGGGGGACAUAAGAAAUGUCUGGCCUUACGAAUGUAAGGCAUUAUGGGGCUUAAACUAAGAGACGAUAGAGAGGGUUUGAUCCAAAAACAAAGGGCCUAUGCUUACACUUAAUUUACCUUUAGUGUUAAUAGGCAUCGUUGUUGGUUUACAUGUCGACAUGUUGGAUUUCGGUAGCAUGUUCUCACUGUGUGACUGAAUCAGUCAGUAGUCGUUGCGGAUGACAUUAUUGUUGAGAAAAUAACUAACAUUCCUAUAUCUUUCUUGGAAACUUCAACACAUUGUUCCUAAAAAAAAAGGUUCCCUUAAUGUGUGAAAGGAUAUAGUAAGAACAAUAUUAUUGAAACAAAAUUGUAAGAAUGAUAUCGUCGACAUAAAGUAGUAUAAAGUAGUAAAUACAUAUACACCAUAUCUUCGACCUUCCCGAUACAUAUAAAGGGAAUGAUCGGAGCUACAACUAAGAAAAGUUGUAACUCUACUUCGUGUUAUAAUUUCUAAGAACUUUGAUGCCACAAGUAAAUCAUCCAUCAUCCCUAAUGAUCCAAUGAUGAUUUUCGAUCUUUUUUAGGGUGCUUUUAGGUGUUGUUGAAUACGAUGUGACCCUACCACUCAAUCAUUCACUUGCUAGCACUAUUGUGAGAAUGAUAUGUGUUCAAAAGCUCCAAGGUAUAACCAACUUACCAACCAUCUCGGUAGUCUAAUCUUGCCACUAUCUUCAUUGAUAUUAGACUUGACCAAACACUAAAGUCAUUUUCCAAUUCAUAUUAGUCGUUGUUACUUUGUAUUAUUCAUUAUGCAUGAUUUUGGAUGUAACUUUAUUUAAUCAAGUAAAUUGUAUAUCAUGCACAUGUCAGUAUUUCGUGUUAAGUAUAAUGGAUAGUAAAUAAUAGUUACUUCAUAAUAAUACAGACAUACUAUAUAGAUUUGAAACCAACGAUAUGGUAAAUAACUAAUAGUUAACAUCAAUUUAAAUCCACAAACCUUCAUCAUUCUCAUUGAGGAAUUGUGUGAUGGAAUUCAUUUGGCAACGAAGCCUAUAUUAUUAGACUUAAAUAUCUUUCAUUCAGAAUUUGCAUCGUUCCAAAAUAAACCCUAAAAUCUUCAUCUUUACAGACAAGAAAAAUAUUAAAAUUCUAAAAUAUCAUCAUUCCUAAUAAGUUAGGAAUUAAAUUUCUUAUUAUAUUUAAAAUGUAGGGUGAGCUUCAGCUUUCCUUUUCAACCCUUGCUAUUCAGUAAAUCAAACAAACAAAUUUUGGUACUGCAUCUUACGCCUAACUUGAAUAAUAAAAAUUGAAAUAGAUUUAUCUUGCUUGAUUUCUCCGUUCUCACAUUCAACAUUACCACAAUAAUUAGAUCUCACAUGAAAUGGACAAUGGAAAACCAUACAAAAAAUUAGAUGAAUUUAUCACAAAACUUGGCACUGAGAGUGAAAGUUUGUUCUGUCACAAAACUUGGCAUCGGUAAUAGAAUCUCACAAGAAAUGUAGUACAUAAAACUAUACAAAAAUUAGAUAGAUCUAUCACAGAACUUGGCACCGAUAGUGAAAUUUGGACUAGAGGUGUUGUCGAAGGUACAAUGGUGAAAGUUGGACUAGAGGUGUUGUCGAAAGUACGAUGGUUUACACAAACUUGAAGGUACAAUCAUGUAACGAAACUCACAUUUUGAUUGAAAGAACGAAUUGUUGAACGGUACUAAGAGAUGUUAGAACAUCACUAUUGAAAGAAAUUAUGAGAACUCAGUCCAUGAAGUGAUUCUAUGUACAAACUUUCCACAUUUGUUAAACCACAACACUACCCUAUACCCAUACCAAUGGGGUAAUGGGGAUAUAAGAAGUAUAAAAAUACAAAAAGAGGAUAGAAUAUAAUGUAAAAUAAAGAAAUCAAGAAAUAUUGUAGUUUGUCCCAGCUGAAAAGAUCCCUACAUAUAAGAUCCUUGAAUUUUAAACAUAAGUCCGCAAUGAACAAAAAAAGCAAAGAUGUGUACCUACAAAUAUAUUGAUAAACGAGAUAAGUCUGUAAUUAGAUAGGGGAAGGGUCAAUUGGUACAACAUGAAUCGAUAAACAAGUAUUGGAAGUAAACACUAAAGCAAGCAAAUGACAUACAAUACUAACACUUGUUGAAAGUAGUAGGAAGCAUGAGUAAGUGGAUGAAAAUUGAUAAGCAAGCAACAACAAAUAAAAGGAAAUUAUUCCCUAAAAUAGUUCACUACGACUCAAUCACCCUAAUUUCAAGACCAACUUCAAUGGCAAAACAUUAAAAUGGUGAUGUUUACACACAAAAAUGAUGUUUCCAAUCCAACUACAUACUAAAAUGGUGAUUUUUAGUGGCUAUGUGUUUUAGCCUUCAUAUUUGGUGUAUGAAGCUAUCCCACACCCUAAAAUGGUGAUCUUUAGAGGUUGGUUGGAAUGAAAUAAUCCCUUUUUAUGCUUUUAAAGUUUUGUUUUAGUGUUCCAUUGGAGUUUGUUUAAGCCUUCAUUUUUUCCUAUCUAAGGUCAUGUCCUCAGUAAGAGCUAACCUCUUCAAGUCCAGUAUCCCAUUGUCUUCCCACUUUAUCAUCGGGCAAACUCUCCUCCUCACACCUUCGAUUGUGAUCGUCAAAACUCUCCUUAUAACCUCCGACGUUUGUCUUCUAUGAACAUGUCCAAACCAUCGUAAUAUAUAUUUCCUUAAUUUCUCUAUGACCGAUGCCACUCCCAACGAAUUUCUAAUUACCGUGUUAGGAAUCCGAUACAACAAUGUUCUUCCACAUGGUCGCCUCACCAUACAUAUUUAUGCAACCUCCAUCUUCCUCUCAUGUUCCUUUUAAUUGGCCAACAUUCACACUCAUACAACAAAUCUAGACACAUACAACAAAGUUGGCCUAAUCGCCACUUUAUAAAAUUCCCCUUUUAUGUCACACAAAACUUUCAUCAACGCCCUCCACUUUAGCCAUAGUAUCUUUAUACGGUGUGUAAGUCCACAUUCUAUUUCUUAUGGAUCAUAGACCCCAAGUAUUUAAAUCUCACUUUUAGAUGUAAAAUAUGCUCACUAAUGCACACACCUAUACCUCAAGAAAUUUAAAGUUAUCUUAAAAAGUCAAGAAUCACUAGGUAUCAUAUAAAAGAUGUAUGACGGAAAUUAAGUGUCUCGCAAAAAGUUAUAAACUCAAUAUUUUCUGAAAAAUUCUUCUACGAAUUGAAGUAGUUUUUUCACUUUAUGAAAUCCAUAUUCUUUAAAUAUGUGACUAUUUUGUGAUUACUAUUUGAAAUAUAUACAAUCCUAUACACAACCUUUUCCUGGAUUUUUGUGAUUAGUCCAAAAAUUCAAUGUGAUAAAAUUUUUAUUUCUUAUAUAAUUUUAGCAUUAGGGUUGAAACUUGAAAAGGGCAAAAUGCCGUUAUCGCGUACGAAAAUUGAUGAAUAAUAAAUCCUUAAAGAGAGCUGGUCGGGAAGUGCAAAAUCCCUAUCUUCAUCAUAAAUACUCACACGAUAGAUUCCCAAUAAACUCUUCAAUAAAAGAGCUUUACUCCAUGAGAUCACAUACAGCUUCCACACACUGAGAGAUAACCGAAUCGCGAGGGGACGAGAGAUGACAAGGAGAUCUGGGUCCUGUUUCCGGUGUUGUUUGGUAAUUUUGGCUGUGAUUUCAGCAUUGUGUGUAUCUGGGCCAGCUCUUUAUUGGAAGCUCAAAAGGGGUUUUAAUUUGAAACCUGGUUCUUCGAUCCAUUGUACUCCAUGCGUCUGUGAUUGCCCUCCUCCUCUCUCCCUUCUCAAGCUUGCUCCUGGUAAUCAAACCCUUUUUUCUUGUUUUCGAUCUGAUUAUUAGUUUUUUCACCCUAUAUGAUUUGGGUUUAUCCAGAAUUUUAAAUUUCAAUAGAAUUUGAUGAUUAAGCCCUAUUUCUGCUCGCUAUUUCUUCUAUCCAUGCCUCACUUUCAUUUUCCUCAUUAAUUGGGCGUAUUUGAUCUGGGGUUUCUAAUAAGUUUUUGAUGUUGUGCGAAAUUAGCUAAUCCAUAAUUUGAUUUCUAAUUGAGAAAGAUCUAGGUUUUGGACCUUUGGUACUUCAAAAUACUCAUAAUUCUUGAUUAUUUAAGAUCAAAUUAUACUAAAAAUGGUAUAUCUACAUUUCUUUUUGCAGGCUUGGUCAAUCUUUCUGUUACAGGUGAGCUCUCAUCAACUCAUUCUUCAUCUUUGAUUACCUUUUUGUAGUAUAAUCUAAUGAUUCUUUCCAAAAACCAGAUUGUGGGAAGGAUGAUCCAGAUCUCAAAGAAGAAAUGGGGAAACAAUUUGUGGAUUUGCUAUCAGAAGAGCUUAAACUACAGAAAGCAGUAGGUGAAGAACACAUUCGCCAUAUGAACAUUACAUUUGGUGAAGCAAGAAGGGUUGCUUCCCAAUAUCAAAAAGAGGCUGAAAAAUGCAACACUGCAACUGAAACAUGCGAACAAGCAAGAGAACAAGCUGAGGCUCUCAUGAGACAAGAAAAAAAGAUCACUUCUUUAUGGGAAAGACGAGCUAGAGAACUUGGUUGGGAAGGAGAAUAAUUGUGUUACUAAAAUCUUUUAUUCUUGUUUCCUAUUUAUGCAUUUUAGUUUGUGUUGUAUUACUGAUUAUAGGCGUAGGUUUUAUUAAUAUUAUUUUAGCUAUGCUUUAUCUUGCAUCAAGAAGACUCUUUUCAAGUAGUGUAUCAAAUUUGAGUUUAUUCUAAUAUGGUUUGACUCAUCUCCAGUUCUUCUGUUAUCUGUAAAAAAAGUUAUUCUUUUAGCAAUCAUCAAACAUAAAGUAAAUAAGGUACAUAUUAACACAUUUCGGGUUCUUUUAUUAUCCAUAAAAAAAUUUAUUCUUUUUAGCAAUCAGUGAACAUAAAGUAAAUCAUGUACAUAUUGACUCAUUUCCGAUUCUUCUAUUAUCUGUAAAAAAUGUUAAUUCUUUUUAGCAAUCAGUGAACAUAAAGUAAAUCAGGUACAUAUCGACUCAUUUUUGGUUUUUCUAUUAUCUGUACAAAAAAGUUAUUCUUUUUAGCAAUCACCGAACAUAAAAUAAAUUAGGUACAUGUUGACUCAUUUCCAGUUCUAUUAUCCGUAAAAAAAGUUAUUCUUUUUAACAAUCAUUGAACAUAAAGUAAAUCAGGUAUAUAUUAACUCAUUUCCAGUUCUUCUGUUAUUCGUAAAAAAAGUUAUUCUUUUUAACAAUCAUUUAACAUAAAGUAAAUCAGGUACAUAUUACUCUUUUCCAGUUCUUCUAUUAUCUGUAAAAAAAAUUAUUCUUUUUGGCAAUCAGUGAACAUAAAAUAAAUCAGAUACAUAUUGACUCAUUUCUGAUUCUUCUAUUAUCUAUAAAAAAAUUAUUCUUUUUAGCAAUUACUGAACAUAAAGUAAAUCAGAUACAUAUUGAGUCAUUUCCGGUUCUUCUAUUAUUUGUAAAAAAAAUUGAUUUUUUUUAGCAAUCACCGAACAUAAAGUAAAUUAGAUACAUAUUGACUCAUUUCCAUGUGUUCUAUUAUCUGUAAAAGAGUUAUUCUUUCUAACAAUCAUUAAAUGUAAAGUAAACCAGGUACAUAAUAGUCUAUUGACAAAUAGUCCAAUGGAUAGUUGAACUAAAACUUACAUACUAUUGCUCACAACACCUCCUCUCAUUGUCAUUAGGUGAACUAAAACUCGCAUAGUAUUAACAAAAAUUCCAAAUUCAUAUUGGAAUUAAAACUCUUACGUUGAUCCGGUCUAAGAUGAGCAACAUGUUAGGUGGUUAUCAUGUAGUCAUUGGGCUUAUAAGGAGCCCAACACCUAUUGAAUUCUGACAAAGAAGAAGCCCAAUUCAUAUUGAAAUUAAAACUACCACAACCCUUUGACAUUAUUUACAAAUAUACCAUCAUGGGGUAGUACUAUUUUUAAGCAUGGUGCUACAAGCAACAUAAGUAUCAAGAAAACGACAUGCCUUUGCAUUAUGACCAUUAAACUGCAAGAAAAACAUGCAUUGCGGAAAAAAACUAAAGCAAAAUUAAUAUAAUAUUCGCCAUCAUAUCCAUGAUGAUAAAAAAAACCCAGAGCAACUCUAAAUUACAUACGAGGAAAACAAUAAAAACCUAAGUUGUUGAAGUUGCAGACUCUUUUAAUCUUUCUCUAUGAGACAAACACCUAACUAGAAUCAUCAUUCGGCCCAAAACCAUAAUCAUCAUAUCCGAAUUCUCCAUCCAUUAUGAUUGUCGACUCUUGCUCCUAUGAAUCAUAAAAAUUGCACAAAAAAAUGUUAGUUAGGGUUCCUUGGACAGAGUUUGACUCAUUUUGAAUGUUUUCCAUGGCAACUAAGUCGACUCAUCAAAGAGGAAAUAGUUUCAACAAAAAAUAGAAGAAAAGAUUGUACCCUUUUCAUCAUUCCAGUCAUAAGAUCAUCCAAUGAACCAUAACCAUUGUUUGCAACAAAACCACCUUGCAAUUUUGUCUGAUCAAAUGGAAAAUCUUCAUUGGAGCCCAUACUUAGCUUCUCGGUUUGUGUAAGGGUUGAACCACCACCACCACCACCAUUUGAUCUACUAUGGCUCACCAAACCACCCAAACCACCACCACCACCACCACCACCAGUGGCUAGAGCUGAAGAGGCUAGUGUGCUAAAAGCAUUGUGAGAGUAUUGGAUAUAAUCUUGUUUACUACCACUAUAUAGCCCACUUUUUUGGAUGUGAUUUUGGUUUUGAUUUGAUAAAGAUUGAUUAGCAUUCCGAAUGAUGUCACCAACCAAACCACCACCACCACCGCUAGGUUCAAGAGGCACAGAGGCGGUAGUGGUGAUGUUGGAAGCAAAUCCGCCAUUAACAGUAACAGGAUAACUGUAGUUUUCGAUUGGCAGUUGAUUUGAAGAGAAGUUUGUUGACUGAUUAUCAAGAAAGGUUGAACUAUUUGAAAGAAGAUUAAGAGAUUCUGGGCCUGUAGAAGAUAGCUUUAAAACAGAUUGACUUCCAAGAACUGCACUAGGAUCCGUGAAGGUGCUAGAACCUGUAAACAUUCAAAAAAAUUCAAAUCGUUUUUGUUGGAAAUCCAUAAAUAUUCAAAGAUAUAUCAUGGUAUUGAAAUCUUGUUGAAUGGGUGUACCUGUAAAGAUCCUAGAUUCAUCAAUGGAAUUGAAAUCAGCCAGUUUGGUACCUGUAAGGAUUCAAAGAUUCAUGACUUAUCAAUGAAUUCAUAAUCCAUCAAUGGUGGGUACUUUUAAAGAUUCAUUAUUCAACCAUGGAAUCAGAAUCCAUCAAUGGGGUACUCUUGAAGAUUCAAGAUUCAUGAAUGGAAUCAGAAUCCAUCAAUGGGGUACUCCCAAAGAUUCAAGAUUCAUCAAUGGAAUCAGAAUCCAUCAAUAGGAUACUCUUAAAGAUUCAAGAUUCAUCAAUGGAAUCUGAAUCUAUCAAUAGGGUACUUGUAAAGAUUCAAGAUUCAUAAAUGGAAAGGGACACUCUUAAAGAUUCAAGAUUCAUCAAUGGAAUCGGAAUACGUCAAUGGGGUACUCCCAAAGAUUCAAGAUUCAUCAAUGGAAUCGGAAUUCAUCGAUAGGAUAUUCUUAAAGAUUCAAGAUUCAUCAAUGGAAUCGGAAUCUAUCAAUAGGGUACUUGUAAAGAUUCAAGAUUCAUCAAUGGAAUCAGAAUCCGUCAAUAGGGUACUUAUAAAGAUUCAAGAUUCAUCAAUGGAAUCAGAAUAAGUCAAUGGGGUACUCCCAAAGAUUCAAGAUUCAUCAAUGGAAUCGGAAUCUGUCAAUGACAUACUUGUAAAGAUUCAAGAUUCAUCAACGGAAUCAGAAUAUGUCAACGGGUUGUUACUAAAGAUUCAAGAUUCAUCAAGGGAAUCAAAACCCAUCAAUGGGGGUAUAUUUCUAAAGAUUCAAGAUUCAUCAAUGGAAUCAAAACCCAUCAAUGGGGUAUAUUUCUAAAGAUUCAAGAUUCAUCAACAGAAUAAAAAUUAAUCAAUUGGGUACCUGUAAAGAUUCGAGAUUCUUCAACCGAACCAAAAUCCGCAAGUUGGGUAUUCGGUUUAUUACUAUAUUGUUGAUGCUCAAGAUUAAAAGAUGUUGGAAUCCCCUGAAAAAAAUUCAAAUUUUGGUGAUUUGGGGGCAUAGCCGAUACAACUGGCUGCAACUUGUUUUGGGUAUGGUUUGGUUGGACCAUAGGUGGGCCCGUAAGGCUAUGAAGUGUCACACCCGUUGCACUGUUGAGCCUACCAAGCAUGCCAGAUGGCGCAUACGUGCCACCUGGCAAUCUUCCUGUAGAUGAUAAUGUCCUAAAAUCUCCAAGUCCAUCAAGAGAAUUCAUCCUUAUGUAAGAAGAUGCAUCUUUGCUUCCCCCAAAUGCAACCACCAUAUUAGCUUGAUGACUGAUCCUCUUUAGGUAAAGCCUAUAUUUCUGUAAACAAGAAGAUCAAAUUAGCAUAUUUUUUUUUUUAAUUUUUCAUUUUCAUCAUAUAAUUGACGAAAGAAAACCUAUCUUUUUCCUGUUUAGGCACAAAGAAUAAAUUUUUUCUUUCAAAGUUGAUUGUAAAUGCCCUUGUAAACGAAAGGGUAAAAUGGUCAUUUACUCACAUUAAGAUGGUUCAUUCGGACUUAAAAAGAACCAGUUUGAAAAAAUAAUUGUUUUGAAAGUCUAUCUUUUUCCCAUUUAGUUACUAAGAAUGAAUGUUUUCUAUCAAACUUAAUUGUAAAUGCCCUUGUAAACAAAAGGGUAAAACAGUCAUUUAUUUACUCACAUUUAUAUGGUUCUUUCGGUACAAAAAAAGAAACAGACUUUUGAACAUAUAAUUCCUAAAGAAACCCUAUUUUUCACAUUCAGUCACCAAAGAAUGAACUUUUUCUUUCAUAGUUACUUAUAAAUGCCCUUGUAAACAGAAGGAUAAAAUGGUCAUUUACUCACACUAACAUGGGUCAUUCAGUCCAAAAAAGAAACAUACUAUUGAACAUAUAACUGCCAAAGGAAAACCUAUAUAUUUUCCCUAUUUACUCACCAAGAAUGAACAUUGUUUUUCAAAGUUACAUAUAAACUCCCUUAGUAAACACAAGGGUAAAACGGUCAUUUAUUCGCAUACCUGGAGAUGACUUGCUACAUUUUCCCUAGUAAUUCCAUCCACAUUCAUCAAAUCAAGAAUCCUUUUAGGCACAGCUUCUGCAUACAUAAUUUACACCAAAAAACCAACUUUUAGUCAAAUUGUUAUACACACCCAAUAUGUAAAAUUACCAAAAAGGACUCACUCUCAAUCCCCAAUUGAUUAACAGCAGCAACAAACUUUCUAUGAAGAUCAAUUGACCAAACAACACGAGGCUUCUUUGGAGCCGAUGGAUCAUCACUUUCAUGUCCAUUUUCUUCAACAUCUUCAUCUUCAAUUCCUCUUUUUCUAUUCGACUUCACAUUCUGAUCUCCAUUUUCAGUCCCUUGAUCCGAUUUAUCAUGAUCAUUGUUUGACUUUGACUUUGACUGCGAUUUUGACUCAACUUUUCGCCUAAUCACAUGCUGCCAUAUGUUUCUUAGCUCCUCAAGGCGAACUGGCUUCACUAAAUAAUCACAAGCACCAUGAGUGAUCCCCUUCAUUACAAGCUUUGGGUCACUGUUUCCUGAUAACACUGAAACCAUUUCGAAAAAACUUCAUUAAUUUUCGAAAACAACCUUAAAUCACAAAAAAUAAAUUACCAUUUUAUGAUAUUUGACAAAUUGUUUAGUCUCAAAUCGCAAACUUGAUUUCUGAAUGGACCCCACCACCAAAAAAAAAUUGAAAUAAAAAUUUCAUUCUGAAAAAUAAAUCCUAUAUUGCAAUUAGUAUUGUGAAAUUGUUCAUAUAAUUGCAAAAUUGCACACUUUUUGUCAGUGCAAAAUUUUGGAAUUUCUCAAUUGAACAGUGAAAGAAAAUUUCACAUUUUUUUUUAACUAAAAGGUGAUUUUGUAAUUUUUUGGAUUCAGUUUCGAAAUUGGUGGUCAUUUUAUGCCAUUGAACAAAAAGAUUGUAAAUUUUUUAAAUAUUACAUUAUAAAAUGGUCAUUUAUUUUAUUAUUCUUAAAAUUAUGGUAAAAUUAGAGGGUUUGAGCUUACUGAUAACGGGUAAGUCCAUUUCGAGGCCAACGAGUUCGAGAAGCUUGAAACCAUCCAUGUCUGGCAUGUAAACAUCACUAAUGAUCAAAUCGAAUCGGUUUCUAUUUUCCCUUAGCAUCUUCAAUGCUGUUAUCGCUUGAUUUGUUGUUGUAACUGUGAAAAGUAAAAAUCGAAACCAUUGAUUAUGAACACAUAAAACAUUCGUAAGGUCAAUGGAUUGAAACCCUAAAAGAAAAAGGUCAAAUUCGUAAUCUGUAGUCCAUAAUUGGGUCAUUAUCCAUACUUGAAAAUUGUUGACUAGAACUACAAAUUAACACAGAAUUCGCUUAUAACUCAAGGAAGAACGAUUGUUUAUGAAAAAACCCAAGUCAAUUUGAAGCACAAAAAAUUGAAAAAACAAAAACAAGAAAAAAAAAAAACUAACCUUGAUAUUGACAUUUUCUUAGAAGCCCGUCUAAUAAUUUCAAGCAAGUUGGAUCAUCGUCAACAGCAAGAACUCUCAUCCCAAUGGGAAACCUGUCAAUUUCAUUACCCAAAACACCCCCUCGAAUUUCCUCAACUGUCAUCUUUUUUCCUUUUGGUGAAAAAACUUUUAAAAAUCAGUCCAGGGUGAUGAAACAGUGGAAACAGGGAACAAGAAUCAAGAAUCAAGAAUCAAGAAAGACACAAAGAUUUAGAGAAUUUUGGAUUUUUUUGAACUUUGUUGAAGACAAACAAACAAACCCAGAAAGGAAGAGGAGCGAAACGAACGAACGAACUCAAAGAUUUUAGAGAGAGAAAGCGGAUCUUAGAAAGAGAAAACAAGAUAGUGACUUGGAAUAGAGCUCUCAACGCAAAUGGACAAUCAUGGGAACUUUGCCAGAACAAAUAGAAUGGCUUUCAAUAUAAAUAAUACAAGGAAUCAAAUUACUUUACUAUUUCACUCAUCAAAAACCCCCUACUUUCUCUCAAGAGUUUUUGUCUUCAGAUUUUUAUUUAAAGAAAUAAAAAAAAUCUAAACCUUAAAUCCAUAACUUUUAGAAUGAAAAAAAUAAAAAAUAAAAAUAAGGAUUACUCGAUUCCAAUUAGAGUGUUUCUUGUCAAUUUCUCGUUCUAGCUCUCAUGUGAAAAAUGAAGCUAUGCACAAUAGACUAAAUAUAGGCUUAAAAAGUUCCAAAUUAUGAAUUAAUCUUAGUCGUUGAUUCUUGUGUGGGUCCCAUAUAGUAAUGUAAUCAUAUGUUACGCACAAUAAUGGUAAUAAACAUAUUUUUUGGGAAGAAUUUUAAGGUUGAUACCAAUGAUGUCUUCUUCUUACGGAAUUGACACGAAAUGCCCCUACAAUUGGUUGGAAAGAGCAAUUUAGAAGGGGUAUGUUUGGGGUAAUAUGGUAAUUUCGAGGUAGGAAAUAAUCUAAACAUGAUCACGUCAUAAUGGUUUUUAUUGUGUUUUAAAUGUCAAUGAUAUGAAAAUUUCCUUUUAAAGGGGAGAAACCAAAACUAUUUAUUAAUUUUGCUUAAUCAGAUGGUUGAGAAUCUCGAAGUAUUAAUGAUGAUUUAUUUGAAAUCAUAAAAUUAGUAAAUUAUGUUUGUAAAUAGAGAAACUCGUAAAUAAAAGGAAAAUACAUCUAUAAACUCACAAAAAACCUUAUUUAUAUAUGAAUUUAUUUAGGAAUCUAAACAAUCAUGGUAAUUUUACAUUUAACCAUCAUUUUUUUUGAAGCCACAAAAUAACUCAUUGCAUUCAAAGCUAUUAAUUAAUUAUAUUUGACAUUAAGAGAUGCUGAUUUACUUUAAUUUACUUCUAAAAUUAUUUGUUUAUUUCACUAAGGACUCGACCUCUUAAUUUCAUAAAAAAAAGAAAAAAAAAAAAACUCACCGUAUCAUUAGGUGUUACUGAUUGCUUCAUAGUAAAUAAAAACAUGUUAUGUUUUGUUAUUUUUGUUAGGCUCAGAACAAAUUCUGUUUUGUAUUACCUUUAAAAUGUUUAAUAUUUUGUGUUCUUAUCUACCCUAAUAAAUGAAAAUGACUUUGCCACAUGUCCUCUUCUCAUUCAUUUGGACACAUGACAUUUUCUAGAAAUUUUAAAAUUUUCUAUUUUCCACUUGUCAUUUUAUUGUAUUUUUGAUUUUAUUAAAUUAAAAUCCACAUUUAAUAUAUAAGGUAAUAUAUAUGUAAGGUAUUUAUUAGAAAAUGGUUUAUAUAGGUAAUGUAUCUAAUGCAUUAAAGUCUCAUUAAUUUUAAUAAUUCAAAAAAAUUCUUAUUUUUCUUAUAAAUUUAAAGUUUUCAAAUUGUUAAAAUUUUAUAUUUAAUUUUUUUUAAAUAAACCCAUGUAAUACAUGGGUCUCACACCUAGUUUUAGUAGUAAAAAACAAAGAAUUCAUAAAUAUUGGCAUCGCCAUGAUGUAAGAUGGUUUUAGGUUGUUUGUGAUUGUGUAUGGCCUAAAAAUGGGAUUUCUUAUUUUUUGGAUCUUCCGACAAUUUUCUUUUAUGUUUUAUUUUAGAUAAUUGGUUAAGAAAAUCUUAUCAUAUUCAACUUUCUUGAUUAAUAAUAUACAUUUAGGUAAAAAUAAUUUUUUACUAUGAUGUAUUCACAUGUGAAUAAAUAAUAAUUAUUUUUCAAAAAAUUAGAAAAAAGAAACCCUUGUUUUUAGGGCCCUAGGAUUCCUGAAUGGAUGAAAAACACAUUACAUCAUGGCAAACCUAUGAAUUUGAAAAUUUCGUCAAAUUCUAUGUAACGUUCGAGAUUUAUAAGGUAUUAUAUAUAUAUAUAUAUAGGGUUAAUAAAUUGAUUUGGCUUGGGUAUGGACCAUUGGGCCUUACGUUUGGGCUUAAGAGUGCGUACGCGGGGCAUACCACUCUAAGUACGCGUUGCGUACUCACAGGUGAUGGAUGCUGAUGAUGAGUUUUAUACAAAAGAACAACCUUAUGUGCUCGUGCAAAACCCUAAAGCUUGGAUCUAGGUUUCUCUAUUGUUCACGCAAUUCAUCCAAGACUUGAAUACCCUAUUCUAGCAUACAUAGAAAUUGAAAUCUAUAACAAAACAAGUUUAGAUGAUACCUUUCAAUAGUUGCAAGAAUCCUUGAUCUUCAAGAAGCUUAAUGUCACAAGUGUAACACCUCUAAUGGCUCACAAACACCACAAGCAAGAGGAUGAUCUAGAAGAGAGAAGGAGAGAGACUAAUUUUCGGCUAUAGUAACUCUAGGGUUCUUAGUGUAGCUGAAACUGAAGCUGUGGGGUCCUUUAUAUAGCUGAGCUGAUAGGGCUUCGAUUAAAACCCUAAUUUGAUGACUUAGGCCCUAAGCAACUUGAGAACCUUCUGGAAUAAGGCCUCCUUGGACGAAAUUAGAGUGGGCUUCCACUCCUAAUUUUGUCCCUCUUAUAUCCAAGAGAGUUCACAGCCCAAAACCAACUAUCACACAAUUGACAAUUUUAGUCCCCUUUAUUUAAUUAAUCUCUUUUAACCACAAAAUUAAUUCUUAAUUAAUUCUUGACUAAUACUAAUUAAGCUAUAUGAUUUCUCAUUUGAUAUAUUAUUCAUAUAAUAUAUUAAUAAACCAUAAUAACCUCUUUCUCUCUCUCCAUAAAUCUGAUGGGUUUUAGACAUAAGAACUUUCCUAUGUGCACAUACAAACCCUAAAGCUUGGAUCUAGGUUUCUCUAAUUGAACAUGCAAUAUAUCCAAGACUUUCAUGGCUAGAUCUAAUGUAAACUAACAAUAAGACAUGAAAAAAAGAUCUAGAAUAAUACCUUGAGUUACUUACUUGAAACCUUCUUCUUCUUGGAGCUUCACAAUUGUCACUCCUCUAAUGGCUUACAAACACCAACUAGCAAGAAGGUGAUUUAAGAGAGGUAAGGAAAAGGGAAAUCGGCUCUAGGGUUACUCCAAUAACAAGGUUGGCCAAUUUCCACAACCCCAAGGGUCUAUUUAUAAUGUGAGCUCCUAGGGUUUCACCCUGAAACCCUAAUUGGAUAACUUAGCCUCAAAGCAAUCCAACAUCCCUUCUUGAUAAGGCCUUGGACGAUUUCUAGGUGAUCCAUAUCCCUAAAAUCGUCCACCCCAUAUCCAUAAGGAUUCCUAGCUCAAAAUACAACUAUCACACAUUUGACAGUUUAUGCCCCUUUAUUUAAUUAAUCUCUUUAAGUCACCAAAUUAAUUCCUAAUUAAUUUAUGACUUAUAUUAAUCAAAUAAUAUCAUUAUUCCUUCAACAUAUUAUUCUUAUAAUACAUUAAUAAUAAUAUCUCUUCUCUCUAUAUAAAUCACCCUGUCAAGUUGCUACGGUGAUGGCAACCCAAAAGGACCAUGCACAAUCGGGUCAAGUAUUUACCAAAUAUAGUUACAGCCUUAGACACUAAUCCAACAAAAUCAUCAUGUCAAGUUGAUUUGGUGAAGGCAACCCAAAAGGACCAUGCAUAAUCGGGUCAAGUACAUACCAAAUAUAGUUACAGGCUUAGACACUAAUCCAACAGUCUCUAACUUGGAUAAGUCUAAUAACUAUAAAUGCAAGUACUAUCCGAUUAGCAGUCGUAGCUCUCAAAGACGUUGUCGAACUCUGAUCUUAUCAGUAUCAUGUUCUUUAGAUAAGGGAUCGUAUAGUCCUCCGUUCUAGAUAUCGCGCGGACAAUUACAUGGAACAUAGUCAUACUUAUUGUCCAGCUGUUUGUUUCUCGAUCUCUGAUUCGUCUGACAUAGAACUUAAUUGAACACAUCAAUUCAGUCUUGACCGGGCCCGACACAUAAGUCAAACCAAAUCAUCGAGGGGCCCAUAUAUCGCUUUUGCACUCUUAGGAUAAAAGGAAUAAAUAAACUUCGACUUAUAUGCAUUUACCAUUCACUCAUCAAAUCAUACACAACAAUGCGUUUUAUAGCAUCAAGUUACUGAUGCGUUUACGCAUUAUCAAUGCACAACUAACUUGUAAACAAUAAACCAUAUAUCUAGGUUUUAAGACCAUAUGAUAUUAUCAUCUUGCGAUCACUCGAGAUAAAUUCCAUGAAGUGAUAGCAGCAAGCGCGGGUUUAAUCCAAUGCUCAAAUCUUAUUCAUAAGCAAUCAUGAACGUUGCAGCAAACCUUUGCUAUGUCUAAUACACUUUAGACAAUCUAUAAACCAAUUCAUGACAAUCUUCUUUCAUACAUACUCUCAAAGUAUGAGUGACUGUGGAACGGUCGAAUAAUCUUAUUAUUCAGGAAGUCAAAACAUGCAAAGUGAAACAAUAGGUAAACAAUCAACAUAAGAUAGUAACUUUACUUAUAAAUAAUACUCAUUUAUUUAAUCAUUAAAUGUCAAUUAAAUUUAUCUAUUACAUGUUUCGAAACUAUCUAAUCUAAACUAAUAUCAUCCUUCAGCCCGAUGCUCCUAGCGUGUUGCAAGUGCUUAACCCUACUUAGUCCCUUCGUAAGGGGAUUUGCUAGGUUAUCCUCCGAAGAUACCCUCUUUACUAUGAGGAGUCCCUCUUCCACUCGAUGUCGAAUAAAAUGAUAUUUCUUAUCGAUGUGUCAAGAUCUGCCAUGAUCCCUCGGUUCCUUGGUCAAGGCAANAAGGCAUCUGCUCCUUCAUUAUCACAGAAAACUUCCAUGGGCUCCUUUAUGGAUGGCACAACUCCAAGGUCUCCAAUGAAGUUCUUCAACCAUAUCGCCUCUUUUGACGCUUCGCUCGCCGCUAUGUACUCUGAUUCGCACGUUGAAUCAACUGCGGUCUCCUGCUUGGAACUUUUCCGAGUCACUACUCCUCCAUUUAGGGUAAAGACCCAUCCCGACUGUGAAAGGUAGUUGUCCCUAUCGGUCUGAAAACUGGUGUCACUAUACCCUCGCACCCUUAAGUCAUCACUCUCACCGAGGACUAGAAACCAUUCCUUGGUCCUCCGAAGGUACUCAAGAAUAUUCUUAACUGCGGUCCAAUGUGCUUUGCCAGGGUUCCCUUGAUGUCUGUUGACCAUGCUCAAAGCGAAGGCCACAUCAGGGCGAGUACAAGUCAUCACAUACAUGAUCGAGCCAACUGCGGAAGCGUAAGGUACUCGGCUCAUCUCUGCUAUCUCGACUUCGGUACUCGAGCUCUGAGUCUUACUCAACUUGGCAUUACUUUGGAUUGGUAACUCCCUUUUCUUGGAAUUCUCCAUACUAAAACGUUUUAGUACCUUAUCCAAGUAAGUAUUCUAAAUAAGUCCUAUUAGCCUUUUACUCCUGUUUCUCACUAUCCUUAUUCCCAGAAUAUAGGCAGCCUCUCCGAGGUCCUUCAUAGAGAAACACUUCCCAAGCCAGGGCUUGACUUCCUGCAGGGUCGGGAUGUCAUUUCUUAUGAGUAGUAUGUCAUCGACAUACAAUACGAGGAAGCUAACUAUACUCCCACUGGCUUUGACAUAUACACACGAUUCAUCCUCGCUUCGCAGAAAACCAAACUCUUUGACUUUCUCAUCGAAACAAAGAUUCCAUCUGCGAGAUGCUUGUUUUAGUCCAUAAAUGGACUUCUCAAGCUUACACACUCUAUUGGGGUGCUUUGCAUUGACAAAACCCUCUAGCUGACUCAAGUAAACAUCCUUAGCCAACUUUCCGUUAAGGAAAGCGGUUUUAACAUCCACCUGCCAUAUCUCAUAGUCAUGAAAUGCAGCAAUGGCUAGCAUCACCCUAAUAGACUUUAUCUUAGCAACUAGUGAGAAGGUCUCAUCAUAGUCAACUCCGGGAGUUUGAGUAAAGCCCUUUGCAACCAAUCGCGCCUUAUAGGUGUGUAUCUUCCCAUCCAUGUCGGUCUUAUUCUUGAAGACCCAUUUGCACCCGACCAUCUUACGACCUGACAUAUUGUCAACCAAAUUCCAAACUUGGUCUACAUACAUUGACUGAAUCUCACUGUCCAUAGCCCCUUUCCAUUUCGUAGACUUCGGGCCUGGCAUGGCUUCCUUAUAUCUAUUAGGUUCAUCCAAAUUUAUUAGUGUACUAUCACUAAUAAACAUAUCACCCUCACUUGUUAUAUGAAAACCAUACAACACAUGAGGAACACUAACUCUACUGGAACGUCUAAGAGGUAAGGAUUCUUCAAUCGGUUCAACCAGAGUUUCAUCCUUGGGUUGAGCGCCAGCGUCAGAGGUUCCUUCAUUGCUCGACUCUUGAAGCUCUACAAGAUCGAUUUGCCUCCUACUGUCCCCAUGGCUUAUGAGUUCUCGCUCUCAGAAAACCCCUCUCCUCGCAACGAAGAAAACAUUGUCACUCGGUCUAUAGAAGAGAUAUCCAAAGGACUUCUGCGGAUAGCCAAUGAAAAUACACCGCUUACUUCAAGGUUCAAGCUUGUCAUGAGUCUCUCGUCUUACGAAAGCCUCGCAACUCCAAACCUUGAUAUGUUCCAACGAGGGAGCUUUCCCUUUCCACAUCUCGUGAGGUGUUUUGGCAACCUUCUUUGUAGGGACUAAGUUAAGGAUAUGGGCGACGGUCUCUAAGGCAUACCCCCAAAAAGAGAUAGGUAGCAAAGCACGAAUUAUCAUGGAACAAACCAUGUCUAGCAAGGUUCGAUUACGCCUCUCAGCCACACCAUUCAACUGCGGUGUCCUAGGCAACAUCAAUUGUGAAACGAUUCCACAUUCCUUGAGGUAGUCUUGGAAUUCAAGACUAAGGUACUCUCCACCUCGAUCGGAUCGAAGCAUCUUGAUUUUCCUGCCCAAUUGAUUCUCCACUUCUUGCUUGAACUUUUUGAACUUUUCAAAGGUUUCUGAAUUGUGCUUGAUUAAGUAGAUAUGUCCAUAUCUGCUAUAAUCAUCGGUGAAAGUCACAUAGAAGUGGCUCUCAUCCCUUGUGGUGGAUCUAAAGGGCCAACACACAUUGGUGUGUAUGAGAUCCAAUAAACCCUCACCCCUCUCACAAGUACCAGUGAAGGGUGACUUGGUCAUCUUUCCAAGCAAACAAGACUCGCACACGUCAUCGUACCUAAGGUCGAAUGACUCAAACACUCCAUCCUUUUGGAUUUGGGCUAUCCGCUUCUUGUUGACAUGUCCAAGACGACAAUGCCACAAGCAUGCUUUGUCCAAACUAUUUGAAGAUUCGAUAUGCAACACAUCAUUUCCUAAGUUGUCUACAACCAUCAUAGUUUCAUAUAUACCAUUACAAGGCAAUGCUUCAAAAUAGAAAACACCAUUAAGAUAAGCAUUAAUAGAACUUUUUUCAUUAUCAAAUGAAUAUCUAAAUCCUUGUCUAUACAAACCAUGAAAAGAAAUGAUGUUUCUUGCCAUUUAUGGAGAAUAGCAACAAUUAUUCAAAUCUAGUCCUAAUCCAUUACUAAGCACUAAAGAGUAAACUCCAAUAUUGGUGACAGGCGACGAUCUUCUGUUCCUCAUGAUAAAGUUUAUCUUCCCAUGCUACACAUCCCUAUUUCUUCUUAGGCCCUACAAGUGAGAACAAAUGUGAAAACCACAUCCUAUAUCAAGUACCCAAGAAAUAACAUGUGAUGAAUCAUUAGAUUGAAUAAUAUAAAUACCCGAGAAGGACGGCUUGAUCUUUACAUCCUUGAUGUCUUGCAGAUAUUUCGGGCAGCUUCGUUUCUAAUGCCCUAUGUCAUGGCAGUGAUAGCACUCUGCAUCCUUGGGGCUCGAGGUGGGUGCAGCGAGACCAACGUUGGUUCCACUAGAAGAGAUGCCAUCACGGGACUUUCCCUUAUGGUGGCUCUUUUAGGGAGUCUUCCUCUUCUUACCCUUUCUUUGCCCAAUAGCCAAGACGGGGAAGCAGUAGGAGUAGGAGUUUGUGCAACGGACUUGUCCUUGAGGUUUCUCUUAGCAGUCCUCAGCAGACCUUGAAGCUUGCUCAACGUGACCUCCUCUUUGUUCAUGUGGUAGGUGAUGCGAAACUGGUUGAAGAUGGGUGGCAAUGAAUGAAUAAUGAUAUUAAUGAUGGGUUUUGAGCAUUCUAACACUUCCUAAGUGUACAUGCAACCCUAAUAACCUUGGAUCUAUGUUUGUCUAAUAAUCAUGCAAAGUUGUUUUCCAAGGUUAUGAACCUAUCUAGCAUACAUGGGGUACAAUUUUCUUUGUAUAAAAGAUAGAACUACAUACCUUGUUGUUGAAAGUGUUCCUUGAAACCUUGUGAGCCUAGCACUUCAAGUGUGAUGCCUCAAAUGCUUCACACAACACCAAAUGCAAAGAAUAAACUUGAGAGAAUACUCUAACACAUGCAAAAUUCGGCCAAGCCCUCUUGUUUCUUAGUGUACCCGAUUUUGGGGAGAGUUGCAUUGCUUAUAUAGUGUGUUGCACUAGGUAAACCCUAAUGUAACAUGAAUCUUCAUUUCUUGAUCCAUGGGUUAACUCCAUAGUAAUGCUCAGGUGCAUUCCUAACUCUCGUGGAACGCCUCAGAGGUACAAACUCGUCAAUUGGCUCAACAGGAGUUUCCUCCUCAAGUUGAGGGCUAGGGUUUGAAGUUCCUUCACCACUUGACUCUGGAAGUUCUUCAAGGUCAAUUUACCUCCCACUGUCUCAUUGGCUUAUGAAUUCUCGCUCACGAAAGACUCCUCUUCUUGCUACAAAGACCACAUUAUCACUGGGUCUGUAGAAGAGGUAACCAAAUCAUCUUUGUGGGUAGCCGAUGAAAAUACACCUCUCGCUUAGGGGUUCAAGCUUAUCAUGAGUCUCACGUAUCACGAAAUCCUCACAACCCCAAAUCUUGAUGUGGUCUAGUUUGGGUACUUUACAAGUCCACAUCUCGUGAGGAGUUUUGGCAACUUUCUUUGUAGGGACUAGAUUAAGGAUAUGGGCGGCAGUCUCUAAGGCAUACCCCCAGAAUGAGAUUGGUAGCGAAGCUCGACUCAUCAUGGAACGAACCAUAUCCAACAAGGUUCGAUUACGCCUCUCAGCCACACCAUUCAACUGUGGUGUCCUGGGAGGUGUCAAUUGUGAGACAAUCCCACAUUCCCUAAGAUAGUCGAGGAACUCUGAACUAAGAUACUCACCACCACGAUCGGAUCGAAGCAUCUUAAUGUUCCUGCCCAAUUGAUUCUCGACUUCCUGUUUAAAUUCCUUAAACCUCUCGAAAGUCUCUGACUUAUGCUUGAUCAAGUAGACAUAUCCAUAUCUACUGUAAUCAUCAGUAAAAGUCAAAUAAUAACGAUUAGCAUCCCUUGUGGCAUGUUUGAAUGGUCCACACACAUCCGUGUGUACAAGGUCCAACAAACCUUCACCCCUCUCACAAGAACCUGUGAAGGGUGACUUUGUCAUUUUUCCAAGUAAGCAUGAUUCGCAACUAUCAUCUGACUUUAGGUCAAAUGACUCCAAGACUCCAUCCUUUUGGAGUUGGCCUAUGCGUUUCUUGCUUAUAUGUCCAAGACGACAAUGCCAUAAUGAUGCUUUAUCCAAGUUAUUAUUAUUAACAUAAUCAAUACACAAUACAUUAUUUCCUAAGUUAUCAACCACAUAUACAGUUUCAUACACACCAUCACAAGGUAAUGCUUUAAAAUAAAGAACAUUAUUAAAGAAAGCGUUAAUCGAACCAACUUCAUUAUCAUAUGAAAAGGUAAAACCUUGUUUAUACAAUGCAUGAAAGGAAAUAAUAUUUCUUGCCAUUUCUGGCGAAUAACAACAUUUAUUCAAAUCUAAACUGAACCCACUACUUAGCGAUAAAUUAUAAACUCCAAUCUUGGUGACAGGUGAAGCUUUCCUAUUUCCCAUGAUCAAGUUUAUUCUUCCUUGCUCCACAUUCUCACUUCUUCUUAGUCCCUGCAAAUCAGAAUAGAUAUGAAUACCACAACCGGUAUCAAGGACCCAUGAGUUAGAAUGGGGUGAGUUAUUAGAUAAGAUAGUGUAAAUACCUGCAUGGUUGGUUUUAACUUUCCCAUAGUUCACAUCUUGCUGGUACUUUGGACAGUUCCGCUUCCAAUGUGCCUCUUCAUGGCAAUAAAAGCAUUCAGUGUAACAUCCCGAAAUAUCAAGAGUAGAGUUGAAGGGCUAAAAGAGUAAGUUGUGAAAGAGUGACUCGGCGAGUCCAUGGAUGGACUCGGCGAGUAGAGUCGCGACUGGGUCGCGUGCUAAGUAGCCGACUCGGCGAGUCAGUGAGGAGGACUCGGCGAGUAGGCGCUGAUUGGAGAAAACCCUAAUUCUCGGGGUUGAGCCCUAUAUAAAGAACAUUAUGUUUUCCUCCCAGCCUCCUUAUCACCCCUUGAGCCCCAGAAAACCCUAAAUCGCGGAGAAGCACCAUUGUUGAGUGGAAUGGAGCUUGGAGAAGUAAGUGUUGAAGGAAUUUUGGGAGAUUGAAGGCUUGGAGCAAGGGGCUUUGCUUGGAUUCGAAUUACAUUGCAGUUGGGGCAUCUCUUGGAGGUAAUAUCUCGUUCUUGGGCUGUUAUUAUGUGUUUCUUCAUUUUGGGGUUUGUGGGAACUUGUCUAUGGAUGUAAUGGGAAGUCUAGAGGUUAGAUCUGAGGUUGCUACCUCAGAUCUGGAAGGGAGAAGAAUCAGAGAGCAUGAAAGUCCCUGUGUUGGAGUGUUUAGUGAAGCUUUCAUGUCCCAAACCCUAGCCCAAUGUGCAAAUGGCCUAGAUCUCUUUGGAUUCACGUAAAGUUUGCCACUUUACGUGAUGGAUGAGUGGUAGGAGGCUAGAUCUAUGUUUUGGAGCAAUUGCAUGGCCUGGAAUGCUUCCGAAUGGAUUCAGACCGGUGGUACUCGGCGAGUCACAUGGGUGUACUCGACGAGUUGGAUGAAGAUGGCCUGGAACUCGGCGAGUUGUAUGAACAACUCGGCGAGUAGGUUGAUGAUAGUCUUGGACUCGGCGAGUCUGUUCUUGGACUCGGCGAGUCUUGUCGAAGAGUCCCGAUAUUCCCUGGUUGAGUCGAGAAUCGGUGAGUCAAGGGAUGACUCGGUGAGUUGUGUGCGAGUGGACUCAGAGUUGUUGGACUCGGCGAGUCUCGGAGUGACUCGGCGAGUUAGGUCGCGGAUUGAGUGAAGUUCUGAUUAUAGAAACUCGGCGAGUCAUAGAGUUGACUCGGCGAGUAGGGUCAGUCAGGGGUUGACUUUGACUGAGGACUUUGAUUUUGACCAAGGGUUGACCGUUGACUUUUAGGGUUU
rnacentral:lncRNA from 1 species